rnacentral:lncRNA from 1 species
CGGAGUCGCCUCCGGUCAGUGCGGACUUUCUUUUGCAGGCGCUCGUUCCCGGCGACCAGGCGACGAGGGGAUUGGCCGCAACAUUUAUGUUAUCUCUGAUUUAUAUUUUGUUCUAAUGAGUUUUCAACAUGAGUAGGUACUAAAUAUGGACUUCAGCAGAAUUUUGCAAAAAAAAAAAGAAAAAGAAAAACAGUCAUAUGGAAUUCAUUUAGGAGUGCUUGGUUAUAAUUUGGGAAAUACUAAUAAAUGAUUCUUUGCUCAUAUUUGAUGGCAAACAGAUAUCUGGCAAUUUUGUUUUGUUUAUGUGGCUCUGUUAUGAAAAAACAACAGUAUUUGUGAGGAUAAAUUAGUGCAAGGAAUGUCUCUGAUUUAUAUUUUGUUCUAAUGAGUUUUCAACAUGGCUAGGUUCUAAAUAUGGAUUUCAGCAGAAUUUUGGAAAAAAAAAACAGUCGUAUGGAAUUCAUUUAGAAGGUGCUUGGUUAUAAUUUGGGAAAUACUAAUAAAUGAUUCUUUGCUCAUAUUUGAUGGCAAACAGAUAUCUGGCAAUUUUAUUUUGUUUAUGUGGCUCUAUUAGGAAAAAACAACAGUAUUUGUGAGGAGAUGUUUCAUGUGUGCUUCACGUAAGUGAUGCUAUCUGAAGGCUACUCUGGUGUCUAGCCUAAUGAAUAGGACCAACUAUCUAAUAUCACUUAGCAUAUUGUCCUAUAAUGAAAGCAUACAUCAAGCUUACCAGAGCUGAGGAUAUGUAGGUGGAAAGUAGUAAAAUAUAGGAACAGAAAAGCAUCCAAAUGCUGGCAAGAAUUGUAGGUAUAGAAAAUACAUGGCAUGACUAUCUGAGAUGGUUUGCAGACUGUCCAUAUAAAGGGGUGAGCCAAGAAAAUUUAGAAGUUGUCAACAAUGAAUUUGAGGAACCUUUCAGUGACAGAGCAUGGCUAUGUGUAGAAAUAUAUGUGAAAUUUUAUUUAUAAAGCUUAAAGUUAUGCUUGCCUCCAAAGUAAGCAUGGCUUAAAUUUCAUGAACACCAUGUGAAUCGUCAUUUGAUGCCAUUGGAUAUAUACUAAUCUGAUCUUAUACUCUAUCUUUUUCUGAAUAGCAUAUAGCUUUUUUUGGGUGGGGGGUUUACAUAUGCAAAUGUGUUAGAUAAUAUUGUUGUCAUGCAAGAAAGCUCAGUGGUCCUUGUUUUUAUCAGUUCAUGCACCUAAAUUGGAACUUGUUUUUAUUGGACCGCCUUUUCAAAAUAUUCUCCCCUUUGAUAAGCAUUCCUUUUCUGAAUGAGUGAACAAUGCACGUCUUAUAACUUAGCAGAAGUUUGCAAUGCAUUUUUGGCACAACUUCUCCGACAGGCCAUGUGAUCAUGUUAUUUCGUUAGUCCAUUUUAGGGUCUACAUCACACAUUUAGUUUAUUUAUUUUGAACAAGACCUAUCCACAAUCUUUUCUAUAUUUUGACCUUCUGUUUUGAUUUGGUGAUCCAUCUUUCUUUAUCAAAUACUUUUCUUGAUGCAAUUGGAGGGGAGGAAACGUUCCCCAGAUUUAUUAUUAAAUACUUUAAUGCUGUAAUUUCUGUUAUGAUGAAUUCAUGUAAAUGGGACCUUGUAAAUUCCCAUCUAUCACAAACCUCUCAUAUGUUUUCUCAGUCGUAAACCCCCGUUUUCGGACACUGGCAUGCAAGGAUGCACCACACAAAGGUGUGAUCUGGUAAGUUACUUUUUCUUGCUUGCUUUCUUUCUUUCAAUUAGACCGUGUUCAAAUACCACCUGCCUGCUAAAGUUGAAAGAUCUUAGUAGUUUCUUCCAGGCCAUGAAAGAAAAAACGAGCAAUCUUCUCUGGAGCCUAGGAAGGCCACCAACCCUCUGCAGGUGACUCGAGUAAUGGGAGGUAAAUCAUAUCAUAUUCCCACCACAUUUUUUUCAUGCUAUACCGAUAAAGUGAUCAUUUGCAUGAUGGGUAUAUCUCUAGAAGCUAAAUUGAUGAUGAGCUUGAUUUGGAGACAUCAUUUCUGUCGAUCAUUACGAUAAUAUAUUAUAGUAAUAGAAGUUUACAGAUACUGCUCCUCAAAUACUAUAUUGAUGUUAAUUACCUUAUAAUAAACUUUUUGAGAAGCUCCCCCUUGUAAUAUGCUGGUGAUAUUGUGAUGACAUUGAAUAUCUGGAUUUGUUUAUGUUUUAAAGAUAGUAUUUGUUGAAGCUUGACAUCAAGAGUCAUCAUCCUAACCUAUACCCAGCUAUAUUAUAUAAAAUAAAAAUAUAAAAAUAUAAAAGGUUCGGCUAUACGUCUAAAAACAUGUCGGUCUUGAUUGGCAACUGCAUUAGGUGGGCCUAGUUUGCUCUCUCUAGUCUUUGGUGCGUUCCUGUCUAUAAAGAAAGAAGUAAUUUUUUAUAUAUCAUAUAUGAUGUAAAAAAAAUAUACUAUCUCAUCUGGUUGAAUCAUGUAGUCAUUAUUUUUUAAGUAAUUUAUUUUUUUAUUUAAAAUUUUGAACGAUGAAAAUAUAUAUAUAUUUUUUUUAAAUUAUGAUAUUCUGUGAUCGUAUUAUAACAUCUUAUGGUCAGUCAAUUUAUAAUUUUUUAUUCAUAAUUUGAUCAUAAGAUGUCAUAAAAAAAGAAAAAUAUUUUAAUCAUUUAAAAAUUUUAUAAAUUUUUAAUAAUAAAAAUAUAUUUUUAUAAUUUUAAAAAAAUAUAAUUUUUUAUAUAUAGAAAAUCAUAAUUUGAUAGUAAAAUAUUAUAUAAUCGUAGAACAUCAUAAUAUUUUUAAAAUAAAAAAAUAUUAUUAUUAUUUAAAAUUUUAAAUAAAAAAAAUAAAAUUAUAAAUAUUAAAUAUAUUAUUAAAUAUAUAUUAAAAAUAAUAAUUAUGUGUUGUAAUAUGAUUGGAUGGUGUACCGCGUGUAAUGCACAAAGCUUUCUCUUAAUAAAGAUUGGGUGGGCCUAGUUACUGUCGUUAUCUGCUCCUGCCUUUAAUGCUUUCCUGCCAACGAAGAAUGACUAACUAGGAGACGAGAUGCAAAGUUGAUAAAGGAGCAGCCGGAAUCACGCGGCGGCUUCGUAUGCCGCAGGUCAACAAAGACGGGGGACAUCGAAUUCCGUGUCGGCCAGGCUUCCCCCGAUAGAAGCUUCGGAACUGACCGCCUAACCCAGUCCGCAAAGAUUGCUUUGGAUCUAAGAUAGGUGCUGCCUUGCUCUAACCCACUUUUAGCUCACUCGAUGGAUACAUAUGCAUCACUUUAUUCUGAAAUUUCUAUGGAAGCUGGUCACGUCAAACCAGGAAAGAGACAGGAAGGCAGCAUAUGAAAGUAUGAAACCCAAAAACUGCAUUAUAUAAGAAGAGGGGUUUGGUGGGAUCUCAGCAUCAGGAGAAAGAGAUGGCAGAUUUGGUCGAGGCUUCCCAAUUCCUUCAUGGCGUUCUCGAUUUGACAAUCUUCGAAGCUGAUCACCUCCACCAUUGUUUCCAUGGUUUCCUCCUUCAGGUACUACAAUCUGCCACUUCUUCUUCUGUCAUAUUUCCUCUUUCUUUUUCUCUUUUUUUGGAUAUAAUGGAGUCUGGACCAUGGAGGAAGCCAGUCAGGUUGAAUUCUUUCUUAAUAUUUCAUUAACCAAGGCUGCAAGAGACUGGACUGCCCCCUGAAAGAUCUGUGGGUUUGUUCUCGUUGCAGCAACUGUUUAUUGGAGUUCCUCCAUUUGGUUCCCGUUUGAGCCCUAGCUGCUAAUUAAGUAGCCCAGUUCGGUGUCUGACCGUGGCUAAUGUGUUUCCACGCUCCCCGCCCCAGUCCUGACCUCUACUCAAAUAUGGAACACGCCAUCCUGUCACCUUUGAUGGGUCUCGAAUAUAACUUGGGCUGAUUAAGAGAUCAAUCAUCUAAAAAGCAAUUGCUUGCUUUACCCAAACAAAAAAAAAAAAAGCAAUUGCUUGAUGAGAAAAUAAAAUCCGAGCCUAAACAAAGCCAGCACUGUUGGUAAUCAAUCCUGUAUACGUAGCGAGUAGUGAAUCAAACCACCAGUCCUGUCUCCUGUUAUCUUCUCCACCCUUCCUCCCCAUCCUCACCCCUCGCUUUCUCCUCCUCUGGUCGUUCCAGUCCGCCCCGACGCAUCUCGAUCUGGCUCGGAGGCACCACGCAUAGAAGUCGGUAACCUGGUUCUGCCGAAUUUGAAGGCGCGCGUUGGAGAUUCGUUUGCAGCGGGCAUGUAAUGAUUCAGCCAGGGUACCACAAUCGGCUCUAAAAAAUUCAUGGGACUUAGCAUGAGCUGCUGUCUUUGACCGAACGCUCGGCGAUUUCAAAAAAUCCGCCUAAGCGGAGUCCAUGACCGUGUGACGUUUAGAAAGUAGAGAAAUUAUACUCGGGCCUAUUCCGUGGGAACCGGGAGGUGAAGUGAUGGAAGUUUUAAACUUAAUUAACACGGACUUCAGGUUAACACCCAUAGUUUUAUAAGUAGCCCUGGCAGAAUUUUGUGGUGCACGUAAGAGAAGUCUGCGUGCAAGUCUUUAGAUGGAGAAUAAUUUUUUAAUUUUAAACUAGAAAGUUUCCACGGCUGGUUUGACCGUCCUGCUGCUCCCCUGCCCGGCAACCUACGGUAUUCGCAAAAAAGACAGCAGAUCGGACGAUUUUUUCUUUUUUAAAUGAUAAACAAUGGGAGCGUCAUCAUUAUUUCAAAGAGAUGAUGGUAGAAUUUUCCCUGUCGAACUGUUGGGUGAACACCACCGAGGAUCUGGACAUGGAUUUUCUUCCCAACUUUGCAACCUACGCUAAGCCAUAGCUUCGAGCUAUGGCAGAGUUACAUGUCAGCUGUCUAACUUUUUGCGUCAUAUCUGUGAAUCGAGUAAAAACAACAUUUGACCCAAAAAAAAAAAAAAAGGAUAAUUAGGAGAUCACAAUCUGUAUUAGCUUUCAAAUAAGCUGGGCUACACGCAACAGAGUAGACCCAAUAUGCCAUAGUAGACGAAAAGGUAUUCCUCUGACUCUUUCCAGAGUUUGUAGCAUAGCAUCUUAGACACAGAUAAUUCUUAACAAUUUUCUCAGUUUCUAACAUGUUUUUCCCCAUGAAUAUCAAACUUGCUUCUGUUCUUUAGAGCAAGCUUUGAUUCUUUACAAAUUAAAGUUUGCAUCUGCACUCUUCUUCUUAAUUUUGAAGUUUACAUCUGUAGAUUUCAUUUUAAUCUUUUCCUGCCAUAAAAACGGCAUCUCAGGUCACAGAAAAGAUAGAGGAAGCCUUACAUCUGGACAAGCUUGCCCACACCAAACUCUAUGCCACUGUAGACAUCGGUGGGGCAAGGGUGGCAAGGACCAGAGAGAUCGAAUUCCAUCCCAAGAACCCAAUAUGGAACGAAUCCUUCCACAUCUACUGCGCCUAUUCCGCUCCCUCAAUCGUUGUAUCUAUUAAAAACCAGCUCCCCGUCGAUGCAAAGGUUUUGGGCCGUGCUAAGAUCCCCACCUCCCACUUACUCACUGGGCAACCUCUGGAAGGCUGGUUUGAUCUAUUCAAUGAUGAGGGCGACAAGCUCAAGAAAGCAAAGAUCCAUGUCCUCCUCAAAUUCUCUGAUAUCACCACCGAUCCAUGUUGGAAUGCAGGAAUCAGACUUCCACAAUUCUCUGGCGUUCCCAAAGUUUACUUCCCUCAGAAAACCGGUUGCGAAGUGACGCUCUACCAGAAUGCUCAUCUUUCUAAUAAUUUCCGACCGGUGAUCCAUCUCUCUAAUGGUAAAAACUAUCACCCUCGGAGAGUAUGGGAGGAUCUUUACAUUGCCAUAACAGAAGCCAAACAUUUCAUUUACGUUGCUGGCUGGUCGGUGAAUGUCAACAUCACCCUCAUUCGAGAUCCGGAGCGCAUGAUCCCGGGCGCAGAGGGUGUAACCAUAGGAGAAUUGCUGAAGAAAAAGGCCAAGGAAGGAGUUACGGUGUUGGUCAUGAUCUGGCAGGACCGAACCUCGGUGUCACUCCUAGGGAAUGCAGGGCUGAUGAAGACACAUGACGAAGAGACUUACAAAUUCUUUGAAGGCAGCAAGGUGAAGUGCUUCCUCUGUCCACGCAAUGCUGACCGCUCCCUCACUGCAGUGCAGCAUGUUGAGGUCGGAUUGGAAUUCACCCACCACCAGAAGAUAGUCUGUCUUGAUGCUCCCAUGAGCAAUGGUACUUGCCGUAUUGUAAGCUUUGUUGGUGGAAUUGAUCUCGCCGGUGGAAGGUAUGAUGAUGAGAACCACACACUUUUCAGAAACCUUGACACGACCUACCUUCAUGAUUUCCAACAGAAUAACUUCCCCCAUGCUGAUCUCCGCCAUGGUGGCCCAAGGGAGCCAUGGCAUGAUGUGCAUUCCAAGCUUGAAGGCCUUGCAGCUUGGGAUGUACUUACCAAUUUUGAGCAGCGAUGGAUAAAACAGUCCCCGAAGAAGAUCUCUCAUUGCUUGGUAAAUAUCCGUGAGCAACCUGAUAUCUUUCCAAUCCCAUCAGGUCAUGUUACCCACGAAUCAUGGAAUGUGCAAGUCUUCCGAUCAAUUGAUGAUGCUUCGGUGGUCGGCUUCCCCUCUGAUCCAUCCAAAGCUGCUAUGCUGGGGUUGAUGAGUGCAAAAGAUGUAACGGUUGAUCAAAGCAUACAUUCAGGCUAUGUUGAAGCAAUUAGAAGAGCAAAGAGGUUUAUAUACAUUGAGAAUCAAUAUUUCUUUGGAAGUUGUUUUUCCUGGAGGCAAGAUCAGGAUUGUGGAUGUCUGAAUUUGAUCCCAAUCGAGGUAGCUUUGAAGAUUGCAAGCAAGAUUCGCCGGGGAGAAAGGUUUGCAGCUUAUAUAGUGACCCCGAUGUGGCCCGAGGGGAUACCAGAGGGUGAUACCGUGCAGGCCAUACUGCACUGGAAUAGGCUGACAAUGGAGAUGAUGUAUGGAAUUGUGGCCAAGGCUAUAGAGGAAGUUGGGUUGGGUGGGAAGGCGCACCCAUGUGAUUAUUUGAAUUUCUUCUGCUUGGGGAACAGGGAAGUACGGUAUCCCGGGGAGUACAUCCCACCAGAGAGGCCGGAACCAGGUUCAGACUACUGGAGGGCACAAGUCAACCGGCGAUUCCUCAUCUAUGUGCAUGCGAAGGUCAUGAUCGGUGAGAACAUAAAAGUCUCUAUUUUAGUAUUUAGUAGUUUUCCAAGUGAUGAUUUUAAAUUUUUAUUUGAAUUUGGCAAUCGAAAUACAGAAACAGCCUCUUUGAAUUUAAGAGUAAGGCUGCAUAUAUCUGACUCUCACCAGGUCCAAUUGCGGUGGGAGACUCAUGCAGACAACCCUUUAUUUAUAUUUGGCAGCAUUAAAAUUCAUUCAAACCAUUUUAUGGUUUUGAUUUUAGAAGUAGCUUGCUAGCCAUAAAUGGAACCAUUUAGGGUAGUCAUUCCAUUGAUUUGAAUGAUGUAAAAAGGCCAUAAAUUAUAAUCUACAAUUUGUCCAAGUUCAGGAUUCAAUUUGCACCAUUUGUUUUUUGGUCAAAAGCUUAUGUUAUCCAUCUUUCCAAUUCUGUAUCUUGCUCUCAGCAUUCAUCCAUAUUCUUGCAUGUCAUACCUCCUUUUUCUUGACCAGACAAAUUCCUGUUGAAAUGCCUUUCAAAACCUUCGUUUCUUUUGCACACAUACAAUAAGUGAUUCUCCAUCGUUUUUUCACCUGAUGCAGAGCAUAUGAGCCCCCUCACAUACUCAGAUCUAACCAAAUUUACUCUGCAUAAUUAACUCUGACAGUUCUUUUUCUUUGUGCGAGAUUCAAAGGCAUAAAUUGGCAAUUGCCCUUCUAUAGUUUCCUGUUGCAUUGUUUUGUAAUCUUUAGUAGUCUCUCUCUCUCUCUCUCUCUCUCUCUCUCUCUCUCUCUCUCUUUUUCCUUCAGUUUUUGAUGCAAUUGGCUGAAGGAAACCUUCCCCCUAUUUUAUAGUUUCUCCCUAUAAUGCUUCAAUUACUUGGGACAUGUAGCUUGAUAUCUUUUUUCUUCAACUCAUCAUUCUUGUCUCGUGUGCAGUGGAUGAUGAGUACGUGAUCAUUGGCUCUGCAAACUUGAAUCAGAGAUCACUUGCAGGUGACAGGGAUACUGAGAUUGCCCAUGGGGCGUAUCAACCUGCAUAUCUAAACAGGCCUGAUGAACCAGCUCGUGGACUCAUCUAUGGAUACCGCAUGUCACUGUGGUACGAGCACUUCAUGAGCCACCACAAGCACCGAUCUCAUGACUUUUUUGAACCCGAGAGCUUGAAGUGUGUGAGAGCAGUCAGGCGAAUUGCUGAGGAUCUGUGGGAGAAGUUUGUGGGAGACGAGGUGGUUAAUCUCCCUGGCCAUCUGCUUCCAUUCCCCAUCCAGGUCUCGGAGGCUGGAGAGUUGUCGGAAUUGCCGGUCGAUGGCUUCUUUCCAGACACCAAGGCUCCUGUCCAGGGCAAGAAGUCUGAAAUCCUUCCCCCUAUACUCACCACAUGAGUUUUUGUUCCCCACUUCUUUUUGGGACUAAAUGCAUUAAUGUUGUGAUAUAAUAAAUGGCACUCAUGCACCAUCUGUAAGAUUUCAUGAUAAUUAUAGAGGCCUAAGCUUACAAUUGAAAUAAAGAUGCAGUGUGAUGUUUUUAUUUCAUUCACCAUCAACAUUAGUAUGUGGCAUCGACUUAAAACUUGGGUUGCCCAAAUUUUGAUUCUUACAGCAGUUCUUUGGGUGCGGGCAAUGCUACAGAAAUCACUGAAGCUGAUUCCAGAUUAAAAAGCAGCUAACUACAAGCCGGUUUAACUUGAAAACUGGUGAAGUAGAGGAGGAAUUCAUCCUACAUACCAAUGUCCUUAACAAAUUUGAUUGUUGUUGAGUCGUCUUUUAAGUUGAUUGACGGUUUGGAGAUUCUAUCAACUUCAUUCCCUCAAAAAAAUCUCUCUUACAGAAUUGAUGACCCUGCACACCACUCCACCUCCCCCAGAGAAACCUUCUCAAUGUGGUGGCUUCACGGUGAAUUCUUUCUAAAAUUUUCUGGAUAACGGUGGCCUCUGUUGUCCCUUCUACAAGACCCAAUGGAAGGCAGCUUUAAUAGAGAAAGUAAGAGUUUUUGUUUGUCUGGGCCUUCAAAAUCGAUUGCAUACAGGCGAGAUACUUUCUGAGAAAGGAUGGCAGAUUAGUGGUGGAUGUGUGCUUUGCAGAAGAAGACAAGAAACAAUCUCCCAUUUGCCCAUGGUAUAUGGACUGCAAUUAAGGUACACCUGAACCUAAGAGGGUGGCUUACCAGCUUUACUGAUCUGUGGACCAAAUGGAGGAACAAGAAAUUUCAGCGACCGUUGAGAAGAGCUGCUGAUCAGUUGAUUGCCACUAUCUGCUGGGCAAUCUGAAAGGAGCGAAGUUCUCGAAUUUUCUUAAAGAAAUCAAGUUCAGUUUACUGUGUUCUGCGGAAAAUUCUAUCAACGAUCCUUCUUCAGCUGGAAGCGCCGUGUUCCAUGAAGCUGCUUGUGGAAUUACAUCUAAAACUAUGGAACAACCUUGCAUCCCCGGCACCUAGACCUGAUCAUGGGCUGGGCUUGGGCUCAGAAAAUGUCAAAUUUAAUGCAGGCCCAGCCCGAAACAUGAUUAAAAAUGAAUAGAGUUGAGGCCCAAGCCCGGCCCAUGAUCAGAUCUACCUGCGGUUUGAUCUCAUGUUGCAGCAUCUUUGGCUGGUGAAACCAAUGUUUGUUAUUGGGGUUCUCAUUUGGAAGGAAAGAAGGCUGCCAUCUACAAUGCUGAAGAACUCUUGCUGUUACGUAUUGACGUUGAUGAUCGAAGGGAACUGGUCCUUCACACCACUUCUGAAAGAGUUCUGUUGGCCUUUGGAUGGGCUAAGAGGGUUGCCUGCAGACAGCCGCCGGUGUCAAAAUUUGUCUUGUUCCUACUGCUUUUGUCAAUCCUGGCCAUCUGUAAAUAGUCUCUGUAAACUUUCUUAUGUCAAUAAAAGCCUGGUGGCUUUGCCUCCCUAUUCAUCAGAAAAGAUGAUUUUGGCGAUUCUGAUAAUAAUGCCUAAUUUUUCUCUGUUUAAUGCUAAAAAACUUAACGAUAACCACUACAGAGCCAUUGGUAAUGACUUUACCAGGAGUUUGUUCAUGGGACAUGUCUCAUGUCUUCUGAAUUAUUUUCAUCCUGCAGCAGUGUUUCACCCAUUUCUAAAAUUUUGCAUGUGUUAACGUGGGCACCACGGUCUUCAAACGGCCAUGCACUCGUCUCAAAUAUCAUGCAUGCACAUAUAAUUGUGUUCCAAUUAAGAAUUUAUAGUGUUGUAUGACUCAUUAAAUCAGCGAGAUUCUGUUUUAUUGUUCCCUUAUUAGCCUUGCAGUAUUCAUUUGCUAAAGCACUGUUCUGCACACGCAUGCAACGCGUGCACAUACACACAGAAUAGUCUGAUUUCAAUUGCUUCCAUGUGAAUUGGAUGGUAGAGUCUUUAGCUCAGAGGUUCCCUCCAAGCACCCCUUAACCAAUUCCGAAUCUUUAUGUGUUCAGAGUCCGUACAUCUUCUAUCCCUCUAUCCAAAUCCCUUUAGACUCGAUAUGUAGACUAAGAGACAACCAUGUAGCCAUGGUUAAGACUUAGGCAGUGGUUUGCCUGCUAAGAAUGACUGAAAGAGCCGGAAUGCUCUCCUUGGCUGCAACAGGGGCACCUCAUGCCCUGCUCCUCUCACUAUGGCAAACGUCAACCCUUCAUACACCUCAGUCCAUCCCGCGACCUUCAUAUAAAGUGGAAAUUUGGAAAAAAAAAAAAAUGGGAAGAUACUCCCUUCAUCGAAUCAAAUGAAACCAAUGCUCAAAUUAACUCAUUAACCAAUAGGACUGCUUAUUUCAUACAUGUAUAUACCUGUCUACCUAUGUACCAUGGAUACCAUGGGAUAUUGACCGUCAGAUUAAGAUGAUUGAUCGAGAACCUUGUGGCCGUCACCGGGACCACUGAAUCAGUGUCCCCGCUGCCAUUUAAAUCACCAAAAAUCACAACAUCAAAUGGCUGAAAAGCAAAAUUAGAUUUUCUCUAGUAAUAUUGCAUGGCUAAUCAGCUCUCACCUGAACACCCAUAUCCUUAAGCCGGCUCUAAUCAACUCCUUGUAGGUAGGCAGCAUGGACAACUCCGAGUCACCCCAUGUUUUGAGCAGCAAAUCACUACCAAAAAACCAUCAAAAAAGAUCAUCAUCAUGCCCCCAUAUAAAUGUCCUAAUGCACAUGCAUUAUCUCAUGCACGUAUAGGAGAAAAUUUUGGGUUGAUCAGGGUUGAACUUAACCUGCAUGCAGUCCAUUUGUAGGGAAUGCUGGUAGUGUUUGCAUGCAUGGCCUCCUGCACGUCAGGCCGAUUGUAGUAUUUCUCAGCAUAAUUCUCGGUGCAUGGAUCAUAGCCAUAUGAUCGGCGCCGAAUUAGGGUGUUUUUGAGCCUCAGUGAUCGAGGAGCGGUGAAGUUGGGAGCAGUGCAGGAGGGGGUGUAGAUGCUGUACUGAUCAAUGUCACCAAACUCAUGGCUCACGGCAUAGUUGAUGACAUGAUCACAACUGCGUGAACCUUUGGUGGAGGUGAAGUUACAGUUGGAGAGGAUGGAUCGGUAGGUCCGAUCAGAGAUCAUGGAGUGACUCCACCAGUAGGAUACUGUGCCUAAGCUAUCAUGGUAGUAAUCAGUUACAGCAUUCCCCACCUGUGCAUCGAAAAUGGUGUGUGAGAUACACAUAAUUAAGGUGCAGCACUAUAUGAAUUGUAGUUGAACUUUGAUUAAAGAAACAAUAGGUGGUCUUUUUAUGCUCUUCAUUUUCUUUUAUUCAUAGAUGAUAACUAGAUUCCAUAUUGCAGCAAAGGUUUUCACAGACAAGGCAUGGUGCAACUGCAUAAGAAACAACUAAAGCUAAAGACUAUGAGCAAACUAAUUCGGAAAAAAAGUUAAGAAAAGGUUAGAAUUCCAUGAGUAAAAUUACCUACAUAACUAAAAGAAAGUAUUAUGUCUGUAUGUCUCUUAUAAUCAUACUCACAAUAAAUCCCUUGAGAUUGAUGAAAUGCUCUGAAGAAGCUUUAUUGUAAUCAAGGAUUUUCUUUGCUAGCUGAGGGACGUAGUGACCUAACAUAAUACGAGCAAAAUUUAUCACUCCAUGUACCAUAGAAGAUAGGAUAUAAAACUAAACAAGAUAUGACAACAGAAAAAAAAAAUUAAAUAAAAUUAUCUUCCUUACUGACAUACUAUUAUUGAGAUAUCUAUACUCAGUUGCAGAGUUAUUUCUUGAAUUAUCGAUCAUUUGGGCAGUAUCAAUAAUUCCUAGAAUUAAAUUUCCUAAGGAAUCAAUGCUUUUCCAUCUACAUGAAUAGAAAAGAUUAUCAAACUAUAGAAAUAUAAGCACAUGACGCACACUCGACAUAUCAGCAUACAUGAAAAGCCUUCUAGUUGGCUGGAUAUUUACUAAGCUAAAAGAAGUGAAACUGGUCAUAUGACAAAGUAACCUGAUUUAGUGACAUGCAUGCAUACAUACAUAUUUCAAGUUUACCAUGAACUUACCAGCAUAGCUCUCACCACAUAUAUAAAACUCUCGAUAUUUGUACUGCGGGAACCUCGACAUCCAAGAGAUCAAAAAAAUGAGAGCAUCUUGAGCUGCAUCAUAGGACUCUAAUGAUGGUUAAUGGUGGAAAUAACUUGACUGAGAUGAACAAAACACUAAUUACUGUUAAUAAUUUCAACAAUCUCAAGGGAUUUAAUCUUGUACCGGUGCGUUCAUCGCCAGAGGUCUUAAGAUCAGAGCUAGUAUUUGUGUAUGAGAAACCAACACCAGCCGGCGAUUCCAGGAAUAAAAUGUUUGCUUCUGCUCGAGUUGAAGAAAAUGUGAUCGUUGUUAUACGAUGAAAUUUAUUUUAAAUAAGGAUUAAAAGAUUAUUAAACACUAUUAUUUUUCAUAGAGUUACCUCUAUUCCAUGAGUAUUUAUUAAGAUAGAGGGAUGACCCGGUUCGGUUUAUCCGGAACGGUCCGAUUUCUUCCGACGCGCCAUAAGCCACCGAGGAGCAACCGGGACCUGGUUCAAAACAUCUCGACCGCUUUAUUAUGAUUCCGAUUAAAUGGAGAGCAGAUCAGCUGUUGGGCAGCAAACAUGCAAUCUGGCGAAGUGUGCCUACGAUACACGUGGGGUCAGGUUACCGGGUCGUGAUGUUGAUAAGGAUUGCACGUGGGGUUGUGGAUGGAGGCGUUCAACUCGUUCCAAGUAACUUAAGAGAGGGGCAUCAUACGUUCAUCGGAAGACUUUCCGGUUGAUGAGGGGGUCUAUUGAUCCGACGGCCCAGAUUAAUUGGAUGGGCAUCAUGAAUUGAUUGACAGCAUAUUUGACUCGUAAUAAUGAAGCACUCAAGAGUAUACUUGUUGCCUUUAGGGUAGCACUGUAUCAGCAUAGUGAUCGGAAGAGAGACAUCAUUUCAGCCAUUCAUUUCAUGAGCCUUUCCGUGGGCGCUUGAUGGGACCCACCAUUGAAAGGGCUUUGAACUUGAAUUGGGUGACCAGGCUGUCGAAACGUAUCUGGGCCGGCCGGUAGGUAGGGUCAUGCUUAUCCUUUAGAUAACUAUUUUUAUUGUGCAUGGUGAAGCCAAAACAGAAGACAUGAAGGAGAGUGAAAAAUCCAUAGGAAAAUCUUUAUAGAAAAAAAUCAGAAAAGUAGUUGAGCAACUAGUAUUUUAAUGGUAUAGAUUAUAAUCAAUAGUGGAUUUUUAAUUUGGAUGGUUUAUUAUUGAUUUUGAAAUUUAGAUAAGUAAAUACUCUCUUCUUUCGAGAGGAGUGAAGUUUAUCUCAAAUAAAAAUAACCUGUAUCUUAUAACAAAGCAAGUUUUAUAACGGAUGAGAUUUUUACAUUUGUACUUUCUGCUCAGAUUAACUAACUUCAUCAACAAAUUGAUCUAGUUAGUGUAAUUAAUAAAAUUGCUAAACAACAUUGCAAAGAAUUGAGGGUAUGCCAAUGGUUACGGUGCAGGUAGGUUUUUUAGUGAAAGGUGACUUUGAUGUGCAUACUCAAAUGUCAUUGGAAGUGUGACUGGCGUGAUCUAAAUAAUUUUAUUUUAGAAGAUUUCAAUCAAGUAUCCCAUUACUAAGAUGGCCAGUAGAGAAGGAUGGCAAUAGGUUGGGUAUGAAUCGAAUCGGCUCAUAUCCAUAUCCACUUUACAAGUAAAAAUUCUAUAUUGAGAUCUAUCUCAAAUCGGAUCAAAUAAAGAUGUGAAUCAAGUCAGAUCGGAUAUAUAAGAGAAAUUGGUCAGAUUGGGUUGAAUCGGAUACAUAUAAAUAAUAUAUAAAAUUUUUAUAAUUUUGAAUCAGAGAUAUAUAUUAAAAUUAUAUUGGAUCGAGUUCGGAUGGGACUACCAUCAUCCAUACCCGACCUAAAUCGUAAUAGUCUUACAUUGUCAUUUUGUAGACUUGUAUCUGUAAUUUUAUAUAAAAAGAAAAACUUGCAUCUCAAUAUGAUUUUAGUAAUAAAAAAAAUACUUUUCAUAAGUCAGAACCCAAAGAAAUAUGAUAAACACAAUGCUUACUUUGCUUUAAGAAAAUAAACCAUACAAUGCAAUUUCAUUUCAAAUAAGUAUUAUAUAUGAACUUGCAAGGCCAUAUAAAGAAGCUAAUAAAUCCACUUAAAAAAAUACAAAAAUUUAAAAAAAAUAAAUCAAAAUAUUCAAAUAACUUCUUCUAAUUAACUUAAAAGGGUUAGUUCUUUGGUGGAUAAAUAUCAUGAGAAAGUGAUCGAUUAAUUUAUCCAUAUUCUUAUACUUCUUUAGGUGAAUUAGUUAUUUUUUCAUAGAAAAUAUUUACCCAAAAAAUGGGAGGAAAGUUUUCCCACCUAAAACAUCAAUAAGUCAUUUUUUUCAUUAGUUAAAAAAAUAAGCUUUUUAUUUUGUUCCUAAAAUAUCCUAACCAUAUAAUAAUAUAAUAUUAUGUUAUAAUAUAUAUAACUUAAUAUAUACCACGAUAAAAUAUAAUAUUAAUAUAAUAAUAUAUUAUUAUAUUAAUAUAAUAUAUUCUAUAAUAAUAUAUUAUUUUAAUAUGAUAUAAUAUAAUAUUUACUAUAAUAAAAUUUUUUGUUUUAAAAUAAUUUAUCAUUAUAAUAUAAUAUGUAAUAGUAUUAUAUGGUGUAUAAUAUAGUAUAGUAGAACAUAAUAUAUAACAUUAUAGUAAAAUAAAAUAUAUUAUUUAUAUUAUACAUUAUGAUAUAUUAAAUUAGAUAUAACAUAAUAUAAAUUAUAAAAUAUAUAAUAGAUAUAUUUAUAUCAUAGAUGGCAUUAUGAGAAAUAUGGAUAAAUCCUAACAAUUUUGGAGUCAUUUUUUAAUAUAUAAAAAAAUAUAGAUAAAUUAUUAUUCUAUCUAAAUAUUAUUUGAAAAAUAUUUAUUCAAAAAAUUUUCAAAUAAGUUAUUCAUCCUCAACCCUAAAGAGAGAGAGGGUGGAACGCCAACAUCAUACUCUCAUUAGUAGACUUUCCAAUUACGUGAUCGUUGAUGAGGUGGGUCGAUUGAUCCGACAGCCCAGAUUAAGUGGAUCGGCAUCAUGAAUCGAUUGACAACAAAUUUGACUCGUAAUGAUGCAGAAGUCGGGAAAGUACUUGUUGUCUUUAGGGGAGCACUGUGUUAGCGUAAUGAUCAGAGGAGAGACAUCAUUUCGGCCAUUCAUUUGAUGAGUCUUUCCUAGGCACCUGAUGGGACCAAGCAUUGAAAGGGCUUUGAACUCAAAUUGGGUGACCGGGUUGUCCAAUCCUAUCUGGGCCGGCCGGUGGGUAGGGACAUGCUUGUCCUUUGGAUGACGACUUUUAUAGUGCUUGGUGAAGCCGAAACAGAAGACAUGAAGGAGCAUGAGAAAUCCAUAGCAAAAUCUGAAAAAUAACUGGGCAAUUUUUAAUUUUGAAGUAUUUUUAGCAGUAUAGGUUAUAAUCAAUAGUAGAUUUUUAAUUUAGAUGGUUGAUUAUUACUUUUUGAAUUUUAGAUAAAUAGAUACUCUAAAUUUGUCUCAAAUAAAAUUAGCUUGCAUAUUAUAACAAAGAAAGUUUUAUAAUGGAUGAGAUUUUUUGUAUUUAUAAUUUCUGCUUAAGUUAAUUAACUUCACUAACAAAUGGAUCUAAUUAGUGUAAUUAAUAAAAUUGAUAAGCUACAUCGCAAAGAACUAAGGAAAAUGCCAAUGAUUAUGGCACUUGUAGGAUUUUUCGUGGAAGGUGACUUGAUCAACAUCGUGAUUCAAUAUUUACUCAAAUUUAAUUGAAAGUGUGACCGGCGUGACCUAACCAACUUUAUUUGAGAAGUUUUCAAUCAAGAAUCGUAAUACCAAGAGGGUGACCAUAAAUAGCUUAGUGGGUGAAGAGUGUCAAGUUGCAAACAACCACCUAGCUAAACUCUUAGGUAGGUUGCCAAUAAAUAGAGCUUUAACAUACUUGUUUUGUCAUUUUUCAGACUUGUAUCUAGAUUUUUCUAUAAAAAGAAAAACUUGCAUCUACAUAUGCUUUUAGUAAUAGAAAAAAUUCUUUUUAUAAGCCAGUACCCAGGUAAAUACAGUAAACACAAUGCCUAUAUAUUGCUUAGGAAAAUAAAAAACAUAAAAUGCAAUUGCAUCAAAUAAGUACUAUAUGUAAAUUUGCAAGGUAAUGUAAAGAAGCUAACAAAUCCACUUAGGAGAAAAAAAAUAUAAAAAUUACAUAAAAACCAAAUGUAAUAAAAAUAUUCGAAUAAAUUAACCUGAGUUUACUCAAAAAAAAUAAUCCAAAUAGAAAACAAUUGAGCAUGUCAUUGAGUGUUGGGUAUUAUUUUUAAGAGAAAAUAUGUCCAAACAAAUCAUAUUAUUCAAUCUCGGAUGGCUAUCAGAUUUCCAUCCCACUGAUGCAAUAUACAAAUGGAACAUCACAGACAGCAGAAAUCCAUGAACCGUCGUUCUCUGAGAAUGCGAUGUAAACCCCUUUUCAGAUUACUCAAUCUAAAUUCUAACAAGCUAUCAACAAGAAUUAAUAUAUACCUACUGCAGAUAAUAUCAUAGGAUUAAUAAUUGUAUUCAUCAUAGCUGGUCAAGUGACAUUUAGUAGUGAAACGACUAGAUGGCUUCCAUGAGACUGCAAUGGUCUACCGCACUACCAUUGUUCCCAUAAGUUGGCAUCAAGCAUCAUAACUUCCAAACCUAACCCACCCAUCGCUGAUCACUCUCUCAAUUUCACCUGUAAAAUUUACUUCAUUUCUAGAUGCAUCAAUUCCUUUCCACUUUGGUGGAUAGGAAGGGACAGCAAUUCCAACUCCCACCUGCAGGCUACGCGUGCUUCCAAAAGUGCAGUGGUCUUCUCCAUCCCUGGUCCCCCAUCCAGGCCCCACCACUUGCGCCCAGGUCAAUCCACCAGCCUUUGGCUCAGACUGAAGGCCAAAAGUUGGCAGGCAGGGGUGCAAGGAAAAGUUGCUGCACUUGUGCUGGGUGGAGUUGUUUUUAUGCCCAUGUUUACCAAGGUGAUGAUGGCAGAAGUAGAAACAAAGGGAAUAAAAUAGAAAGAUAAAACGAAAUUCGCAGCUUUAGGUCUCUUGGGCACAGAACAAUAAUCUGCAGUCACAUGAAUCUGCUGCCACACAUUAGAAAUGAGCAGAUCCAUAAGCUCUUUCACUCAGUAUCCUUUUUUGUAUUUUAUGAGAAAACAAAUUACUCUGCUGGAUAAUUUUUUACGAGAUACUGCAGGCUGUCUGUUAAGCUCUUAUUGGAUGUAUUUGUAUGUCACCUCGAAAUACUGAUUUCUAGUUACUAAAGACUAGGGUAAUUUUUUUCUUUUGGAGAAUUAAUUAAGCUUGAAGGGUACAAGCUAAGCUUGACAUUAAAAGCAAAACAAAAAGAAAAGGAAAAUCCUUCUUGAGCAUCGGAUGCAACAUAGUGAAGACUUUGAGAUUCACUGUCGACCGUGAUUUACAUUUUAAUGCAUAUAUUUGAUAGAAUACUAUGAAACCUUCUAGCACAUAUUUGAGUCUAAUAAUCGUAUGAUGAAAUUAGAUAUUUGUAAUUUUUUUCCCUUGCUUCGUUGGCUUGACGCGUACCCAAAUGGCUUGACUCGUACCUAAACUUAAUUUAAUCAUCUUGUCAUAGCUUUUAAUGAGAAAAUCAAAAUUAAUUGUAAACUAGCUAGUUGUAUGAUUUUAAUAGAAGGGUGGUGGGAAUUAUCCGUGUAGGAUUCGUGUGUACUAUGUGGAGCUCCCACAUAUUAACACUAAUGUCGCCUUGCGGACCAUGGCACCGAAACCAACACAGACAAGAUUUCCCUAUCAUGCAACUUAAUUGAAGUCUUGUUAAUUACACAAAGGUACAAAUGCGAUAAUUAGUUUAUGAUUCAUUGAGUCUACUUGAGAUGAUUAAUAAAAAGUACACUUUAUUCUCUCCAACAAUCUUUAAGAGGGUUCUUUUCCAAUCCUACUAUCUUUUUAUACUUUAGAAAUAGAAGAGAUCUAAAUCUCUCUCUUUACAAAUAAUUUCUAUCGUUUUCUUUUGGAGAGAUAGAGAAAAAAAUAGUCUUAUAUAGCUCCUAUUGCCCCCACAAACUCUUAGCGGCUAUAUGCCUCCUAAGUUCAGGUUGUAUUUUCAUACGAAAAAAUGAUUCACCUGAUUUCACCACGUCGAUUGUCGGAUCGUGCAAUGGCUGAUGUACUUUAUGAGCUAUGUGCGAUGCACGAUCUGAUAGUUGAUAUCACAAAAAGAGAUCAAUCAUUUUCUUGCUUGAAAAAUACAAAUCAAUCUCAUGCCUACCAUCAACUCACCCACCAUUCUUGUAUUGUCUUACCUUUCCACCGAUGGUAAAAGCGGGCAUGAUGCCAUUUAUAAAUAAGUGGUAUACUCAAUAGAUCGAGCAUCGACAUAUAAGUUUCUAUACAAGCAACCAUGAUACAGUUUUACUUUUGUAUUAGAGAAAAACCUCAAACAUGAGAUUUGUUCCGUUGGAAGUAACCAAGUUUAGUUAUCCUAACCUUCACUAGGUUAAUUAACUAAUAUUUCUUUUCAACUUGUGAUUGUGUAGUCCAUAGAGACAUAUUUUUAGUUGGGUCACCUUAUAACAAGAUGGAGAGAAGUAGCCACAGAUACCUACAAGUAGGGUAAUCUAAGGUUUUUGUUUUAUUUUUUUGGACAAAAAAAUCCAAUACAUAAACUUUGCGUUAUAUUGCUUGCUUAGUUGGAGCCGUGAAGUGCCAACUGUAAAUUCUUUUCAAGAUAAUAUACAAAUAUUGUAAGCCUGAUGACCACUGAGUAUGAACUAUAAUUGGAGCUUUUUUGUACCUUCUGUGCAGGGAAUAAUGAUCAGUUCUCACAUGGUUACCACUGCCAUGAAAGUAAGCAGAGCAAAUAGAAAGGAACAAACACAUCAGAUCAACCAAGGAAACGUUACAUACUCCUGCUACCGCUCUCCGGCCUAAGCCCCAGUUGGCGCACCUUAGCAAAUCCAUCAGAGGUUUGCUAACCUGCGCCUCGUCCGUUCUCUGUCGUUCAAAUUUUUGGGGGGUUGGGGGGGCGUCCAUUUUGUCGGCUUCCUACAGUUUAUGUGGCAAGUCUAAUGUCUUGCCACGUGUGCAUCUUCCAGACUGGAACAUAAAGUGGUGCCUUGUGUAUUUAUUAAGGUAGUUGUUGUUAACCAACAACAGCCUGCAAGCUCAUCAUUUUGGAAUCAAUGUCAUUUUCCAAAAUUUAGAUAAGCAAAGAAAAGAGAAAAAAAUUGAAAGAACAAGAUAUGAAAAUUACCUAGGGAUGAGUAUAAAAGGACUUGUUUUCCUUCCAAAGCUCAAAGGAAGGAGGGGGAGGAGGGAGAAGAGCAAGAGUUUUUAAGGUUUAAAAUGGCCAUUAUAUCGCCGUUUUAAGCUUCUCUCUCUUGUGGCUUGCAUUUAAAAGUUUCACUGAUUGAGCUCUUUUCGUUUUGAGAAAUUCAACAGAGCCUUUUUAUGUUGAAAGAACCUAGGAAUAAAGAAAACACUCCAAUAGAAAUCUUCUUUCUAGCCAUCACCCAAUAAAGGUUGGGGAAGCUCCUAACAUAUAUCCCCACUUUCCUUAAAAAAAAAUCAGCUUUGCUCGCAUGGCCUUUUGAUGUAACAAACCAACGAAACAUUUCCAGAAAGGUGAGAUCGAGAAAGAAAGACGAGGCAUAAGUAUAAUAUAUAUACUUAUGUUAUCGACUUAUCAUCACAGCGACUAAUAAAAUUAAUUAACAGACCUUUGAAAAGAUUAUAUUAAUAAAUUAAAGAGAGCAAGAAGGAUGAGGACUGACCUCCAUUUAGCCAAAGAACCAGGGGCUUCUUAGCAGCAUCAUUGGCAGCUUCAGUGAGCCAGUAGAAGAGAGCCCUGCCAUGCUCCGCGUUCACUGUGACAUAGCCGGAGAACUGCUUGAAGGACACUGGAGGUUGCCCGGGGAGUGCCGAGAUCUGAUCGAGAGCUUGUUGAUCGGGAGCAGCGGUGGCGAUGAUGGUUAGUAAAGGUAGGAAAGAAAUGAACAAUGAGGAAGAGUGUAUUUUCCUUAGGCCUCCCAUUGCACCCACCCGGGCUAGAUAAGUUCCCUCCCUCCGUGUCUCUCUAUUAUGGUGUCUUGUGUCUCUUGGUAAGGGAGGAGAUUUGGAUCAUAGGAACAGGAAUGAGUGCUUUAUAUAACCCAGUCGUGUGCUUUGGAUGGGGCUCUCAAAACAUAGUGUUGAGAUUUUAUUACAGCUUGCAGGUUGGGCGGCUAUCUGGACCUUUUUUCUAGAAAAUAAAAGCUUAAAAGAAUGGGUGAAUAUAUAUGUGGGUGAUAGGUUAGAGAAGGGUAGCUGACCUACAUUGCCAUUAAUAUUUGCUUCAGAGUUGGGUUUGGGAGCCCAAUUAAACACAGGCCCAUAAAUGCAAUGCAACUCUCUCUCUCUCUCUCUCUCUCUGUGGUCCUGAAGUUAGAUGGAGAUCAGCUCCGGGGGUGAUGGACUCAGCUUGGUUUGGUCAUGUGAGCUUUCUCUGAAAGGAAAUAAGCAUGUUAUCACCUCUCUAAGCACUAGAUAUCCUCAUCUAAACCAACAAGUUCGGCACUCUUUCCACUUUAACUCAAAUUGUAUAUAUUAUAUAGUCAUUCUACUGUAAGCUUUUGAAAUACCUCAUCCUUAUAUGCUUGUGCGUGAAAUAAAGAAAUGAGACAAGUGGAACUGGCUUGUGCUUGUGAAGAUGUGGGAGGGCUCUCUCUCUCUCUCUCUCCCUAAACUAAAAGACAUCAUUUUAAUGAUCCUACUAAAGACCCAAUUGGAAAGUUUGUCUGCUUCAUGGGAGAAGUCUUUCACUAGUAUUAGUUUAUACUAUCUGCUUUUCUUCUUCUAUUUGGUGGUUAGGAAAGAGUUAGUUCAUGCCCUCAAUCAUGGGCCCUCGCGUCUUCAGUUUUCAACCCUAAUAAAAGUGUCUGACCACUUGACCCCAGAAAUUAUAUUUUAGUACUCGUUUGGCAGCUUCUUAACAUUUUUUUUCCCCGCGCAAGAAACAGUAAAGUUUGGAGCCGUUUUCCCAAAAAUUAAAAGUUACAGUGUCCUUGUCUGGUUCUUUGUUGCAUCCAUGGAUACCGUUUAUGGAGGAGAUUCCAUCUCUUAUAGGUGUUUAAAAUGUGUGAAGCCUUUGUUACACUACAAUCCAAUAUACAGCUGCAGGUUCAAUAUACAGAGAUAUAAGUGAUAUUGAGGCAGGGCUCCAUUCACCCAUUGCAAUCUGUUGGGAUUAUUUAAUUAAUUUUCGACUCCGACUCUACAUCGAUCUUAUGAACAUAAUAUUCUGACUAACAAUCAGUUAACCGAUCCACAGUCGGUUAUUAUCAACCAACAACAGAUAACAACGACGAUUCAGUUAAUACCCGACUGAUGACCAUCGGCAUAUCAAAGUCAUCAUCCGAUGCUAAUUCGGAUCUUCACAACUACCGACCUACUACUAUUACCAAUAUAUAGUCGGCUUAUCUUUCCACGAUCACAUAAGGUCGGAAUGUGUAGAACCUACAUAUCUAACCAUUAUAAGUGGUUAUCGACUAUGUGUCAUGAUCAUUAGUAGACAUAAACAGCCCAUUAACUCCACGAUUAUGGUCCGAUAAUUUAGCGCCAUAAAAAGUAGGACCACGUGCUCGACGAUUACAUCAGAAUCAUUUAUAAAAGGGAGAUAAAUGAACAGUAUGGAUAAGAUAAUUUUGGACUGAAAACUCUGUCAAUUCAAAUAUUCUUCAUCGGCUGUUCACCACUCUCUGCUGACUUAAAUAUCGGAGGGUCCCCACCAGACAUAAUUUCGAUCUGUGAGAACUUUGUUUUGCAAGUGCUGUUCACCGGCGACAGACGAUAGGAGAUUGGCCACAAUAGAUCGGAUAAAAGAAAGAAAACAUCUCGACGACAGUCCAAUUUUUUCUAUUCUCUCGAUCAGUCGAGAGAAGGACAGCUUCGAUGAGCCGCCUGGCCAAUGUCGGAUUAGCCAAAGCUGACUCACCCUUAGAGAUUCGAAUGUCGACAAGAGUUGGAAGGCCUGCAGAUGAUCCGUCAUCAACUGAAGUCGCUGGCGUCUUCCCCCGAUCUCCAAUCGAUAGUCCCGCUCUCUAGAACGUCGGAAAGUCAGAGCUUGACUGUGCCCGAGAAUGUUCCGCUGGAGGAACAACUGACACAGCCGCAGAUUGAUUGGAUUCGGCCAUAACUCCCACCCUUGUCUGAACCUCUGCUGAUGGAGCUGUCGAUGGUACUGCUGCAGCUUCGUUGUCUCCUGCCAUCCCACCUUCAACAAAUGGCACCUCAAGAAGCAUUGUCGGGGCCGACAACGCCAAAACUGGCUCGAAAAUCAUCUCCGAUGGAAUGUCGGAUUCCCUCAUCAGUACAGAUGGAGUGGCAUCUCGACUCUUCUUCGACGGUCGGGAGGGCCCAGCUUCAGCUACUGCCUUUUUCUUGACAGCGUGCGAGCGAAUAUCAGCAAACGACACUCGUGUCCUCGGCUACAUGGCUGCAAUCAAAACAAAGCAAUCAGUAUAAAAUUCAGAAACAGACACGAAAAUAAAAGUGACCGACUGUUUUAUACCUAAAGAAGUGAUCGAACUAAGUCUGACAUCAUAGAGAGCUUGUUCGGUCAUCAGCUCUCGUUGCGAUGGAACGGCCAUAUUUUUCAGUCUGAUGAAAUUUUUUCGAUCAUCGACCUCCACCUGACUGUUCUCAUUGGGGUCAGUCCUUGGAUCAUCCCAACACGAAGGAAAGCUCCAGGGAGAAGAUGAAAAAAUGAAGAAAAAUUAGUUCUUCCAUCCAUGAAUAGAUGAUGGAAGAUCGAAAAUGAAAAAAAGAUCUUUUCUUAGAUUGAAGAACCAUCAACCCUUGGCCUUCGGAUGAGGACGAAGGAUAAAGAAAGAUCAAAAAAGAGAAGAACGAGGAACAGUCGGUAUAAGAUGACACAACAGGGCAAAACUGAUAAUCAACCAGAUAGAAUUCAGAGCCAGCUGAGCAAGACAUAUGCCAUAGUAGUCAAGAAGAUUCCAGACGAACUCCAAAAUCGAGAAUCGAAGACCGACCCAAAGGUCUUCGACAUAAAUUGCAACUUAGUCGGAAGGAGGAGAAUUCAUCCGACCAUUCGAGUCAGGAGCGAAAAGUUGAUACUGCUCCAGGAUACGGUAUUGUUCCUGGAGCCGUUCAACGUUAGGCCCAGAUAAGGAAGAAGCUUUCAUUUUCAGACUCGAAGGAGAGUCAUCAGUCGGAUUCUCCGACCAACUAUCUCGAGAAGAAAAAGCUUUUCUAUUAGCCAUGGAAAAUGAAGAACUAAGAAAAGAAAGAAGAAAAAUCCUAAGAGGAAGAAAACCCAAGGAAGAAGAUAAGAAAACUCAACCUGAAAUCAGAGAUGGCGCAAGGGACAAAUCGCAAGAGCAACCAACAGAACCUUCCACUGCAGAGGAUGGUGACAAAUGCAAAGUAAAAGUACUGACUAAAAGACGACUAUAUAUAUAUAUAUGAUCCCUUAACAGUCAGGAUGAAAUCGAUCAAAUCUGGAUUUCAUUAGAUUACGACAUAUGAUAACAUCUAGACCGAUCAUUGGUCAGACGGUUUGAUGCACCUACUUCCGAUCGUGCCACCCACUGUUAUCUGCAUGAAUAGCUCAGAGCCAAUAAUGUUUUGACACGUGGCCAAAAUAUACUAGUCAGAAUCAAAUCAUCUGGCAUCGAAUUAUCUUUCUGAAAUGACAGUUCAAUAAUGAUUUCACAACUAUCGAAACAGCAAAAUAGUCGGAGAUCUCUCGUAUUCCAAAAACUCAUUAAUAUCAGCAGUCGAGUCGGGGCUCGAGACAACACGUGAUAACUCUUUUCGUCUAACGUGAUAGACCACGUGAUGAUAUACACGUCAGACCACCUUGAACUUGAGAAUGGGAGGCAACUGUUGGGACUAUUCAACCGACCUCCGACUCUGACUCUACAUCGACCUUAUGAACACAAUACUUCGACUAAUAAUCAGUUAACCGACCGACAGUCGGCUAUUAUCAACCAACAACGGACAAUCACGAUGAUUCAGUUAAUAUCCGACUGAUGAUCAUCGAUAUAUCAGAGUCAUCGUCCGAUGCUCAUUCGAAUCUUUACGACUACCGACCUACUACUAUUACCGACAUAUAGUCGACUUAUCUUCCUACGAUUACAUAAAAUCGAAAUAUGCAGAACUUACACAUAUAACCGUUAUAAACGAUUAUCGACUAUGUGUCAUGAUCAUUAGUGGGCAUAAACAGUCCAUUAACUCCAUAAUUAUGCUCCGAUAAUUUAGCGCCAUAAAAAGCGGGACCACAUGCUCGACGGUUACAUUAGAAUCAUUUAUAAAAGGGAGGUAAAUGAACAGCAUAGGUAAGACAAUUCUGGGUUGAAACUCUGUCAUUCAAAUAUUCUUUAUCUGCUGUUCAUCGCUCCUCACUGACUUAAGCAUCGGAGGAUCUCCGUCGAAUACAAUUCUGAUCUGUGAGGACUUUGUUUUGCAGGUGCUCUUCACCGGCGAUAAGCGACAGAAAAUUGACCGCAACACAAUCUUAUCUAUAUAUUAUUACUAUAAAACUAGAGCAUUGAUCUUCUAUGAAGCAUACUCGGUGAUGCAAUGUUAUAUCGCAGAAUGCUUUAGGGUAUCGGUAUAUAUCAAUAGUGAUGCACCACAUACAUAAGGCUAUCUUGUUGAUAGUUAUCUAUUUUUUGAUGGUGGUCAUUAAAUAUCAUACAAUAUUCGAGUGAAAGUCAUGCAUCAUAAAAGAUUCUAUAUCAUAAAACUAACUCAAUCUCUAUUUUUUAGAUACCGAUAUUUUAAGAUUUUUCUUAUUGCUUUAUUAUUUUAUUUCAAUGGUUUCGAUUUCUUUUCUGUUGUUUAGUUAGGGCGUGAGCCAUUAUGCCUCAGUUUUGUUGGAAAUCUCUCUCUCUCCCCCGGAAAUUUUGGGCCGGAAAGUCUGUUGAUCUGGCUAUCAUUGAAUACUUAUGCGAAACAGCAAUAACUACUAAGGUCCCAGUAUUUGUUGAAUUCUUUGACAAGGACAGGGUAAAUUGAUGCGCUGCUAUUGACUCCGAGGCUGCCAAAAUACCACCUACUUCCACUGGAAACCAUAACUACGCUGGGCAUCUCUGGAUGGAUAACAAGGGUUGAGGUUCGCUCCUCGAGGUUUGAAUUUAGUACGGCCCUACGAGGUCACUUCAGUGUUCUUGAUGACAGGUGAACUAAAUGAUCCCUAUGCGAUAAGAAGUUUCUUGAGGGCCGCCAUAGCUUUCCAGGCAAUUAAUAUUGUUUUUUAACUAAAAAAUAUGAGAGUUGGAGGAAAGACGAUCCAGCGCACUUUUUCUUCUUCUUCACCUUCUUCUUUAACAUCGUCGUAAAACUCUAAAUAUUAUUAAAAAAAUAUUUGAUUUGAAUAAAUAGAUGGUCUCUUUUUCACUAUAUAAACAAAUUCAAUGGAUAAAUAUAUCACUCUAGUAUUAUCAAGAGUUAACAGAUCAAAUGUUAUUUUCAGACAUUGCAUCGAAACUGUCAAAAUAUAUUUCAUUAGACAAUCAUUUGAAGAUAAUAUUUUUAAUCAUAGAGAUAUUAGACAUUUUCACAGGUGACUCGUGAACCAACGUCUUGUUUAUCUCCAUGCGGGUGGAAUGUAAAAGUUUCGCAAAGAAUUAAGAGAUAUCUUGGUCGGGAACCAAAAUAACAAUGUCUACUAAUUUUGGAGCAUCGGUUUUGAUAUUUAUACACUUAAAAAUGAUAAAAUAAAGAUGGCAACAUCUUGUAAUAUUUAUACAUUUAAAAACUUAUCUAAGGUAUAAAAUAAGGAUGGCAACAUCUUGGCUACCGUACUAAUAUGGUUUUGGCCCCUAUUUUCACGUUAUAACAAUGAAUAAGGACCGCCAUUUUAAAAUCUCUAACACGCAUAUUAAUAAGUUCAUAAUAUGUAUACAAACUGAUUAUUAGUACAGAUCUUCAUGGAACUAAAAAGACUAAUUCGAAAGGUUUAUCCAUAAGCCAUGACUAUGAUUAAUCCAUAAGGGAGGUACUGGUAAUGGAUCCGCCGUAUUUACCAACAUAUUGAAGCCAAAUGUCGAUGCUGUCUACCAUAGGCAUUUAUAGAAAACUUUAUAUGGAGUUGCAGAUUAUACUUUUAUAGGAGUUUUUUUUUUAAGAAAAUGAUAAAUUUUUAUCUUCUAAAUUUUAUUUGUUUGAUAGCUUUAGAAUAUCUCUUAAUUGAUGCUUCUAUCCAUGGAGUUAUUUUUUCGAAGAAAACAUCGAUUUUCGAACAAAUAUAAUAUUUUUGAAAUAUUAUAUUUUUUAACAUCUAGAUAGAGUUGUUGUGGGAUCUUACCAUCUCAGUCAAUAUCUUUGGGAUUCAUGCACAGGAGCUAUUGAGUUGACAAAUAUACCGAUAUGAGCCUUGAUUGUCGACCUCAUCAAGAGGUCGGGCUUAUUUUAAGAACGACCUCAUCAGAAGGCCGACCUCAUCAAAAGCUGAAGUCAUCAGAAAGCCGAUCUCAUCGAGAAUCAGGAGGUUGAGCUCAUCAGGAGGCCGACCUCAUCAGAAGGCUGACUUCACCAGAAAGCUGAAGGCGAUCUCAUCAGGAAGCCGACCUCAUCAGCGGGCUGACAGCUGUGCUCAUUAGAUUUUCUCAUCAUCCUUUGGACACGUGGCAGCAGAUUGUUAUCUGAAGUACCUGUUCUCUCAUGUUACAUCGGCCUCUAGUCAAUCUGACUCUUCAGUAUUAUCUGCUAAGUCAGCUGUCUAGAACUGUUAGUAAGAAAGACACUCACAUCAGUUAUCCUCUGAUCUCCUUCACCUUACGUCAAUUUUUGACCGACAUGAUUACUGACACUCAAAAGCAUAACACCCAAUUCAAAUAUUUACUGAUAUCAGUUAUUCCACAUCAAUCUCUUACCGACAUGAUAUCAGAUAUAUGGACUGUUAUCUAACAGCUAUCAUCCAGCUCAGUCAUAAUUGCCUUCCAGUUGUAUUUCAGCUCAUUUACCAUAUGAGCAGCUGCCUCAUGAUCUCUACACAACUUGUCAUUCUGUUACAAUAACCCAACGGUCUAACAGAUCUCCAACGACCUAACAAUCUUUUUUUAAGGCCUAAGCAAGCUCCCUCUAUAAAAAAGAGAUAAGGUGCUCUCCAGAAUGUAAGUCCAAGCUAAGUUUGAACUCACAGAGACAAAAUCUGCUAAAUUUCUUUAAAAAAAUCAGAGUUCUCUUUACUUUUCUCCACUCAAAUUCUUACUUCUUGCUUUCUAUUUCUCCAUUUUUACUAUCUCUUCUCAAGGCCCUGGCUAACUUAAGCAUCAGAGGAUUCUAAAUCGGAGGGCAUCUCAUGAUUUUGGGACUUCUUUUGUAGGUUUCGCUCAUGAUUCAGGUCGGCGCAAUUCUUAGCUCUCCAAUUCGAUUUAGCACCGACCUCAUAUCCGGAGACUUGCAGCAACAAAAGUCUUCUCCGAAUCCAGCUGUUUUAAAAUUAUCUGAUUCCACUCUCUUUUUUAUCAUUGAUACUUUAUCUUUUAAGAGUACCCUUUUUUUUUUUUUAUUCUAAGAUAGAGAAUCUUUCUUUCUCUUUUUUUUUUUACUAUUUUAUUUUUUUUAGAUAUUUAACGAAGACAAUUAGAUCAAGCUUCUCAAGUGAUCGUGCUCGUUAGAGAAAGAUCGGACCGAAUCAGAAUGUUAUAUCUCAGAGACACGAUCAAAGCAAAUACAUACAUAAGAGAGUGAAUCAUGUUCUUAGGAUAAUAUUCUCAUAUACCUUGAUCUAGACAAACUAUUUGCAAUCUUCAAAUUAUUUUUAGUUUAUUUCUUUAUAAUCUUGAUUGAAUAUCAUUAUAACAGCAACAUAUUAAUUUUCAGAUAGAUUUAUUUCUAACAACCUGUUUCUACGUUAUCUAUUUGGUGGACUCUCGGGCUUGGGUAGCUUUUUAGCAUAGCACCGGAUGUCCCGAAGGCCGGCACACAUUUUCUUUUCAUGAAAAUAUAUAGUUAUCGGAACCAACAAAAUUGUGAGCACCAAGUCACAAGAAAUUUUUGCUCAACUAACUCUUGAUGCGGAGAUGUUUAAAAGGUAUUUGGUUGAGAGGAAUUAAGACUUAGAAUGAAAAUAGAAAUUGAUGGCUCUCAUUCCAACCAUUUGGUUGGAAGGAGUUUCAUUCCGAUUCUGAUUUUUAGUAGAAUAAAAAUAGUUCAAUUCUUCUAAAAUCUAAUCUCAACUGUCUUUUAAGUAUUCAAAUCUUCAUUUCAAUUUUGAUUAUGAUUCCGAUUAUGAUCACAAACCAAAUACUUCAAGAGAUAUAGUCAUUUCAAUAUUCAUUUAAAUCUAUUCUUAUUUCGAUUUCAAUUCUAAUUUCCAUCGUAAAUCAAAUACCUCCUACUAGCAUAUGCAUCUGUGAAACAAAAGUUAUGGCGUGCUCUUUUUCUUGGUUAUGAACUGUGUCUUUUGUGCACUGGCUUGAACAAAGCCAAAUAAUCUGUCGUGUGAUUCCCGGCCGCUCAAAGGCCUAUUAAGUUGGCCCAUUUAUGUGAUCAGAUGUAAAUGCUAGGACCUAAAUGCAGCAUUAGAUCAAUUACAAUUUAAACAUGGUGAUCCAAGUCAGCCACAUUUCACUCAAACUGAAAUCAAUAAGAAUUUGGGGGGUGCUUGGUUCGCAAUUGGAAUCAAAAUCAGAAUCAGAAUGGAAAUGGAUUAAAAUCGAAAUUGAAAUAGCUAAAUCAUUCGAAGUGUUUGAUUUGUAAUUGGAAUCGGAAUCGGAAUCGAAAUGGGUGAUUUUCAUUGUUAUUAUUUGGUUUGUACAAAGAUAGAAAUCGGAGACAACUCAAAUUUUUAUUUUUAUUCUAAACUAAAAUUUUUAAAAAUUAAUUAUUUUAAAAACUGAUAUUAAAUAAAAAUUAGACAUAACAAUAAUAUCUUUAUUUUUUUAAAAAAAUUAUCAUUAAAAAAAUGUAGAUAGCAAAUAUUAUUUUAUCAUGAAAAUAUUAUAUAUAUAAACCAGUUUCGGACCAACACCCCACACAAAACCCAACCACACCCCCCCCGGCCCUGGCCUUGCUGCUCGCACCCCAUGGUCCCUCCUCUCCCCUGGUGCCGCAUCUGUCACCUUUCUACUAUUCUUUUCUCCGACGUCUUCUUCCUCUCCUCUUCCUCCUCUAGUUGUCGAAACCCUCGCUUGAUCUAUCGAUUGAUGGAUGUGGCGGCACUGUUGCGCAUCGGACUCGUCGGACUGGUGGUGAUGGGCCCAAACCUAGCCCUCAAUGUCGUCAAGAAGGGUUUUCUGAUCUUCAUCUACAACCGCACUGCCUCCAAGAUCGACGAGACCGUUGGUCGCGUAGCAGCAGAGGGUGGCUCCCCCUCUCCGACCAUCACUCCUACGCUUUCGUCCUCUCCAUCACUCUCUCUCACACCAUCAUCAACCUUGUCAAGGCCGGCACCCUCGUUGACCAGACCAUCGCCACCCUCUCCGAGUUCAUGGACCCCGGUGACUCCAUCAUCGACGAUGGCAAUGAGUGGUAUGAGAGCACUGAGCACCACCUCUGCGAUGCCGUCGCCCACAGCCUCCUCUACCUCGGCAUGAGUGUCUCCCAGCUGGGAGAUCGCCACCCCCACAAUACCUUUUGAAGGCGAGGACCUCGGAGGAGGAAGGGGAGCAGACAAGGAUGAUGAUUUUUUUUUUAAUCUUAUUCCACUGGAAUGUGAUUUUGACUCCAUUAGAUGAAUCCGGAUUGGAUUAUGAAAGAAAUAGAUCAUUCUCAUUCCUCUUUAGAAUGAGAAUCGGAAUGGAACUCCUCUCAACCAAAUAGUUGGAAUGGGAGUCAUCCAUUUCGAUUUCCAUUCCAGAUCUUAAUUAUCCCAACCAAACACCCCCUUGUUGUCUAGGUUUCUUCUCAAGGCAGACUUUGGAUUGGUCUUGGACCAAGCCCCUCCAACUUAUAGGCAUGAUUUUAUGCAGAUCUAUGCAGAUAUAUAUUUAUCAUGAAAUCAAUUGUGCAACAAAAUGAUCUUAAAAAUUUAUAAAGGAUAAAAAAUGUAGAUAAUGUCCUUUGACUAGUUGCUUUUUUUUUUUUUUUGAUUCUAGAUUGUUACAAAUAAAGAUAGCAAUUUAUGAUUUGACUCAUCAACUCAGCCCGCAAUCAAUCCACUUUAAGCAAGUUUCGGUUUGUUAUAAAUGGAUUUGGAUCGUUACUGUGUCAUGUUAUAACUAUUUAUUAAAUAGAUCAAGUUCGAAUUUAGACCUUUAAUUUAUUUUAAUCCAUAUAAUAAUUAGAUUGAGUUGUGACAUGAUCUGUUUAAUUUAUUUAAGAAUUAUUUAACCUGCUUGAAAUUUACUUAGCCUAUUUUUGUCUCCUUUAACCUAAUCUGCUUGAUCUAUUUAACCCAUUUAAACUUACUUAACAUAAUAAAAGCCUACUCCACAUGUUUCACUCAUUUAACUGGAUUCAACUUAUUCAAUAAAUAGAUCAUGCCAGUAGAAUCAUAUUGCCCAUUUAAUAAAUCAAGUUCAAAUUUGAAUGUUUCCAUGUUUACUAAACAAGUCAGAUUCAUAUUUCAAUUUUUAGCCCGGCCACCAUUAGACUUGACUAUAUCUAACUCAACCUAAUUUGAUUGCCAUUCUUAAUUACAAAAGAUAUCGGAACAAACCUAAACCAUGGUCCAUAUAAACUAGGGGACACUAUAAUAGGAAAUUAUUUGGAUUGAUCACAUGCCAAUUGUGGUGUUUGUAUUAAAUUUGGCUGGAUUUGAAUCCUUGGGCUAGUAAAUAUGUUAGGAUUUGAAUAGGAGGAGUAUGUGAAGACUGCACCAGCAUAUAUUUUUUUUCCAUUAUACAUGCACCAGCAUGUUUAGACUUGCUUCAAUUGUAUGCUCAGAUGAUCUUUGAUCCUUAUACCUGGUCCAUAAAUUCAAGAAAUCUAAAGAUUACUUUCUAGUUUCUACUAAAGCUGGAAGUGGGACCAGGUUUGCCCGAGGCCCAUCAGGUUGGACCAACUAUGGUGAGGCUACGGGCUAGGUCCGAGGGAGUUCGAAUUGUGUUAGGCUUUGAUACAGUCUCAGGCCGGCCCGAGCUAGUCCACGCUCGAAACUGAGCCCAAAGUCAGGGCCGGAGGCAGCUUGGAAUCAACGCCUAGAAAAGCGUGAGUCCGCACCCUUGUGCGCUGUAAGGUGGUCUGGGUUCCGGCCCCAUGUGAGCGAUCGCGUGAGGGGCGCAGCGGCUCGAAUGAAAAGCCGGACUUUUCCCUCAUCGAUGGUCGCCACUGCUACCCUAUAUCGCACCCGAAUCCUCCCUCCGGAGUAUCGUCUUCUCCAUCUCCGAGGCCAGCAGCGGCAGCGACGAGGCUGUGGGUCGGCGGACCGCCCUUAAGGAAUCAGCAUUCGCCUGACCGUUCUGCUGCGGGCCUCUCCAAGAUCUCGCCUCUCUCGCCUCCGCCUCCGGCCACGGUCUCUUCAUCCCCUUCCUCAUGUGCCUCUUCGGCACCGCCUAGUCCUGCACUUCCUCUAUUUCGAGAGCUGGGCCACCGGUCAUCUCACAGACCUCCUCUCUGCCACCUAGCCCGCUGCCGCUUCCACCGACCCUAAUCCCCCGAUCCCCUGCCCAAGAACCCUAAUCUCUCGAUCCUGCCUCAGCCCGCCGCCUCCUCUCCAAGGUGAUAGACAAGUUGCCCAAACGGGCCAAUUCGGGUCCCGGGUCUGGAGCGGGUUUAGGUCUUGAUUCUGCUAAAAUUUUUGGAGCCUACCCGGCUCCAACUCCACCGUUUGCUUAACCAGGUUGCAUCCUGGACUCCCGGAUCAUCAAUGGUUAAGUAUGGCAAGUUUAUUAAUUAUUUUGAGUCAUUAAUGAUAAUUUGGUCCUUUUUAUAUUGUUCUCCAAAUUUUACAUGCAUGUUAAGCGUGGAAGUUUAUUAAUAUUCCUUGAUAAAUUGGAUGGAUGCUUAGAAAAAACCUCUUCCACUGUUUUUCUUACCAAAUGUUUUUUUUUCUUCUCUCUCUCUCUCUAGCUGGGAACUAACGAAGUCCACUGUACUAAUAUUUUUACCGUCAUUUGCUAUUGGUCUGUGUCAUGCGUAGAGACUCGUUAUUGGAUCAUCCAACUUCUAACCUUCAACUGAAGUUUAUCCUUCUUUUUAUAAAAAAAAUAAACUUUUCUUUCAACAUUUUGUUUCGUCGACUCUUUCAGACUGUGAUCCGGAGGAAUACAUAUGCCUUUCGGGACUUUACUGGACCUAAGUCCGAACAAACAUUCAUGCCCAUCAGGGAUUUAUCAGACUAAAAUCUGGAUAAACGUUCAUGCCCUUCGGGGCUCUAUCGGACUAGAAUCCAGAUUAAGAUAUCGUGCUCUAUGGGGUUUUAUCAGACUGAAAUCCAAAUAAACAUUCAUGUCCUUCGGAGCUCUACCGAAUUGAAAUCCAAAUUAAGAUAUCUUGCCCUAUGAGGUUUUAUCGGACUGGAAUUUGGAUUAGGAUAUUGUACCCUAUAAAGCUUUAUCGAAAUCUGGAUAAAUAUUCAUGCCCUUCGAAGCUCUACUAAACUAAAAUCUAGAUUAAGAUAUCAUACCCUACAAAACUUUACCGAACUAGAAUCCAGAUAAAUAUUUAUGCCCUUCGAGGCUUUACCAGACUGAAAUUCAGAUUAUCAUUCAUGCCCUUCGGGGAUAUAACGGAUUGAAAUCCAGAUUAGGAUAUCAUACCCUAUGAGGCUUUAUCAUAUUGAAAUCUAGAUAAACAUUCAUGCCUUUCGGGGCUCUACCAGAUUGAAAUCUGGAUUAAAAUAUCAUACCCUACGGGGCUUUAUCGGAUUGAAAUCCGAAUUGAUAUAUCGUACCCUAUUGGAUUUUAUCGAACUGAAAUCCGGAUUGAUAUAUCAUACCCUACUAGGCUGUACCAAUUUAAGGAUCGAAUUUCGAUACAUGGAAGAACAUGAUGUACAAGAAAAGAGCUCGUUAGAAUAUUUUCAUGAUAAUAUUUUUUAAGAUUUUCGGAAUUUCAAGUACAGAAAAUAACAGAUCCGUCUAAAUUCUUAAUUCUAUAAGCCCUCAGGCAAACUACAUUAGUGACUCGAUAAGGCCCUUCCCAGUUGGGAGCUAAUUUAUCUUGCUCUGUAUGCUUUGAAACUUUAGCUCGUCUCAGGAUGAGGUCACUCUUCUGAAAUGACUUCAGCUUCAUCCGGGCAUUGUAAUACUUAGCGAUCCUCUGCUUAUAGAUCGUCAUUCUGAUAUGGACUUGUUCUCUUAUCUCAUCGAGAAGAUACAGAUCGGUCCUCAAUCGGUCAGAAUUAAUUGUCUCGUAAAAAUUUCUGACUCUAUCAGAUAAUAAGCCAAUCUCUACUGAGAUCAUAGCUUCAGUCCCAUAAGUAAGCCUGAAAAAAAUUUCUUCUAUCAGAAUCUGAUGUGUAGUUUGGUAUGCCCAUAAUACACUCUACAGCUCUUCAGCCCAUAAAUUUUUAGCAUCAGUGAGCUUUAUCUUCAAACCAUAAAGGAUAGUCUAUUGGUUACUUCAGCCUCACCAUUCGACUGUGGAUGCCCAACAGAAGUGAGUCGGUGAUCAAUAUGAAACUUGGAGCAGAAUUCAUUAAAUUUGGGAUUAUCAAACAGCUGACCAUAAUCAGUGAUGAUGAUCCGAGAUAAACCAAAUCAGCAUAUUAUAGUUUUUAGAUAAAAUCUUGCAUUUUUUCUUUGAGAUCUGGGCUAAAGAUUCUGCUUCCACCUAUUUUGUAAAAUAGUCAAUGGCUACCAUCAAAAAUUUUCUUUGAUCUGCCGCCACUGAGAAAGGCCCCAGUAUAUCCAUCCCACAAAUUGCAAAAGGCCAAGAGGCAGUAAUAAAAAUAAGCUCAGCAGUAGGUUGAUGUAAGACAUUAGCAUAUCUUUAGCAUUGGUCGCAUUUGUUGACAAGAUCAGCUGCAUCUUUUUGAAUAGUUGGCCAAUAGUAAUCCUGUCGGAUUACUUUAUAAACAAGCGACCUGCCCUUCAGAUGGUUUUCAUAUAUACCUUCAUGCACUUCUCGAAGUGCGUAAUCAGCUUCAUAUGGUGUCAAGCAAUGAAGUAAAGGAAGAGAAUAAGACUUUUUAUAUAAAUAAUCUUCUUGGAAAAUAUACCAUGGAGCUUGUCUUUUAAUGCUUCUGGCUUUGAUCGGAUCAUUGGGUGGGAUUUUUUUAGAUAUAUAAUCCAAGAGGAGAUCAAUCCAACUCAGCUCAUGACCGACCUAAAAUAUGGAGAGUACUUCAAUACUAGGCUUGUCCAACUAUUCAAUCAAUAUUUUUUGAUUCAAUUCGAAAAAUCCAAAGUGACGAGAUGCGAUAGAGCAUCAGCCCGGACAUUUUUGAUCUAAAAAUUUGGAAUACUUCAAGCUUCUCAAAAUUUUCAAAUAACUUUUUGACACUCUAUAGAUAACGGGCCAUCAUGAAAUCUUUGGCUUCAACUUGACCUCGGAUUUAGCCGACUAUAAGUUGUGAGUCUGUGAAAAUCUUUAAUUUUCUGAUCCCGAGCUCUUUCGUCAUCUUGAGAUCCGCCGUUAGGACUUCAUAUUCAGCACCAUUAUUAGAAGUGUUAAAAUUGAAUCUUAGGGCCUGCUCAGUUACGAACCCUUCAGGACUAGCCAGAAUCAAACCGGUGCCACUUUCUUAAAAAUUUGAAGCUCCAUCUACGUGAAGAAUCCAAAAUGAAUCAUCACUUUUAGGACUUGCCGGAAUUGACCCAUCAUCUGAGUCAGUAUAUUCUGUGAUAAAAUCAACUAAUACCUGGCCUUGAACUAUAGUUCGAGGUCGGUAGUAGAUAUCAAAUUCACUAAGUUCAAUGGUCCAUUUGGUGAUCUGACCUAAAGUAUCAACUCUUUGUAAAAUCGAUCUGAGUGGCUGAUCUGUCAAUACCACCACAGUAUGAGCUUGAAAAUAAGACCUGAGUCUCCAGACUGCUACGAUCAAAGCAUAUAUCAUUUUUUCAACCUUUUUAUUUCGGAUUUAUGUGUCCUACAAUAGUUUGCUGAUAUAGUAGAUAGAUCUCUGAAUUCUCUUUUCUCUCCGAAUAAGAUCCGAGCUGACUGCAAAAGGUGAGAUGGAAAUAUAUAUGUAUAGUUCUUCAUGUUCGACCGACUUGAAAAGAAGAGGUGGAGAGACAAGAUACUUUUUCAAAUCUUUAAAAACAGUCUGACAUUCUUCUAUCCAGCAAAAAUUUUUGAUAUUUCUCAAUACUUUAAAGAAUGGAAGGCAUCUUUUUGCUGAUUUGAAAACAAAUCGACGGAGGACUGCUACUCGUCUGGUGAGCUGCAGGAUUUUUUUAAUAGAAAUCGGACAUUUCAUUUUUAAUAAAGCUCUAAUCUUUUCAGGGUUAGCUUCUAUCCCUCUUUGAUUAAUGAGAAAGUCAAAGAACUUACCUAAACCAACUCCAAAAGCACAUUUAUUGGGAUUAAGCUUCAUCUAAUGUCUUUUAAGUUCUUCAAAUGAUUCCUUCAAGUCGGUAAUAUGUCGAUCCUUCUUAGUGCUCUUUACUAUCAUGUCAUCAACAUAGACCUUCAUAUUUCGAUCAAUUUAUUGCUUGAAAAUUUUAUUGAUAAGAUGCAAGAAUGUAGCACCUGUAUUUUUAAGAUCAAAAGACAUCAUCUUGUAACAAUACAAACCAACCUCUUUUGGUGAUAAAGAUAGUAUUUUCUUCAUCUUUUGGAGCCAUUUGCAUUUGAUUAUAGCCAGAGAAAGUAUUCAUAAAGCUGAGAAGUUUGUGACCAGAGGUAGCAUCUACAAGCUGAUUAAUUCUCGACAGAAAAAAACUAUCCUUCGGAUAAGCAUUAUUGAGAUCUUUGUAGUCAAUGCAUAUCCUCCAUUUGCCAUUAACCUUCUUGACCAUAACAAUAUCGGCUAUCCACUUCGGAUAAUGAGCUUCCUUGAUGAAUCUUAUUUUUAAAAGCUUGUCAACUUCCUCACCAAUAGCUUUCUAGCUUUUCGAGGUGAAACUUUUCUUCUUUUGUUGAACCGACUUAAAAUUUGAAUCUAUAUUGAGUUUAUGAAUAAUCAUAUCAGUUGGGAUGUCAGGCAUAUCAGAAAUCGAUCAAGCAAGGACAUCAACAUUUGCUCGUAGAAACUUAAUCAGUCUCUCUCUUAAGUCAGAUUUAAGAUUCACAUCGGUCUGGACUAUUUUUCCUGGAUCAUCUCCCAAAAGAAUGGCUUCAAGCUUUUCUACCGGUUCGCCUUGGAUUUUUUCGACCUUGUCCAGUGCGUCUGGUAUAUCAACUGGCACAGUUUCUGCUGGUUGGUUCAUUUUAGCAUAAAUCAUAAAAUACUAUCGAGCUAUCGUCUGAUCGUCAUGCAUUUCACCAACUCCUUUCUUAGUCAGAAAAUGCACCAAUAGAUGAUAAGUAAAAACAAUGGCCCUAAGAGCAUUAAGACCAGGUCAAUCGAAGAUAGUAUUAUAAACAGAUGAAACUCUGACUAUCAGAAAAAUGAGCUGUACUGUUGACUGUCUUGGUUCUUGUCCCGUAAUAACUGAUAGAGUAAUUUCUUCUUCAGCUAUCAUUGAAUUUUCUGAGAACCUGACGAGGGAAGUACUAAUCCGCCUAAGCUAUCCGAUCAGAUUCAUUUUUGUGAAAGCAUCAUAGAACAAUACAUCGACAGAACUUUCAUUAUCAACAAGAAUUUCUUUUACAUCAUAUUUUACUAUCGUUAUAGAGACGAUGAUAGUAUCAUUAUAAGGGGUUUGAAUCUUCUUUACAUCAUUUUUAGAAAAAAAAUAAUAGCUUCAGUUCUCUGCCUCUUGGGGGAUGGGUCAUCAGUGCCAGGCAGAAUGCUAGAUAUCAUAUUGAUAAUACCAGUAGUUGGUCAGUUGUGAUCAUCAGAAGUUCCUUUUACUAGAGGUCUGUAUUUUUCAGAUUUGAUCGGUCUAACAUAUUUAUCGAGAUAGCCCCAGCGCACUAGGAUUUCUAUCUCAUCUCGCAGCUAUCUGCAUUCUUUGGUGCUGUGGUCAUGAUCUCUAUGGAAGCGGUAAUACUUUCGUUUGUCUCUUUUCUCUGAUGGGGCUCUCAAAGGAUCAAGCCUUCGGAGAUAUCUCUCCCCUUCAAUUUUCAUCAGAAUCUAAGCUCGAAGAGCGAAUAGAGGGGCAUAUGAAUUAAAACACUAAGAUGGGUUUCUUGACCUCAAAUUUCUUUUCAGGAUUGAUUUGAAUUUUUAGCCUGCUCAUCAUUCUCCUUUGGCUGUUUCUUUCCAUUCUUAUCCUUCUUCGCCUAUCUUAAGAUAGCCUCUUCUUUUUUAGCUUGGGCGUAUUUACGUACCCGAUCGAGUAUUUCAUCAUAGGUAUCCGAAAAAUUUUUAUUCAAAAAAAAAUCAGACAGUUGCUCCAGAGUCUGCUUUUCAAAGCAGAUAUGGUAAUUAAUUCAUUAAAAUAUUUCAUCUCUAAGAUGGCCGUAUUGAAACAAACCACGUACUUCUGGAGAUCUUCUCCUUCCUGCUGCCAAACAGAGAAGAGACUAUCCACAUACCUUAAAUGAGAUCUAUUAGUGCCAAAAUAAAUGAUAAAUAACCUCCCAAGCUGCUCAAAAGAAGAGAUGGACUCCUGUGAGAGUCUAGAAAAUCAAACCCUCGCUGCCUUCUUGAGGGUUGCAGAAAAAGCAAUGCGUAAUAGGGCAUCAAAAGCCCCUUGCAAAAUCAUGAGGGUCCUGUAGCCCUCAACAUGAUCCAUUGGAUGGCGAGCAUCUUGAAUCGGUUCGAAACAGGUUCACUCAAAAUUUCAUGAGAGAAAGGAGAUCGAAGAUUGAAACUAUAUUUAUUAUGAGAUCGACCCCCUAUCUGAAGCUCCAUCAUACGCCUUUCAAAAUCCAGGACCUUGUGCUCCAGGUCAUCUCCUUUUUGAACUUUCAGAGUGUCACGCCCCGAACCCAACACCUGGGUCGGAUACGUGAUGGCCGCACACUCCUUAGAGCAAGCCCUAAAGAAUAUGCAAGGUCAAAUUAAAUCAUUACAACCUUAUCAACCAUAAUAUUUAAUUUCAAUAAUGAUUCAUAAACUUGCAUAAUUACAAUUAAUAUUUCUUCAAUCCUCUGAUCAGGUAUCAAUGGUACUCUAUCUAUGCAUCCGCUCACUCACAAAUCCAUACCAUAGCCAACCAUGAACAUCUUGUAACUCUGAGAAGAAAAGAAAAAUGAAGAAGUGUGAGCUUUACAGCCCAGUAAGAAUUUCCAUAUCACACCAAUAUAAUAAUAUAAUCUGAAAAUAAUGAUAGGCAAUAUCACAUAAAAACCGAUGUUCACUGUCCAGAAUACUGCAAACAUUUAUUGAUUAUCUGUUUAUCAAAAGAGAUGCAUCAUCAUAUGUUAAAUAAGNNNNNNNNNNNNNNNNNNNNNNNNNNNNNNNNNNNNNNNNNNNNNNNNNNNNNNNNNNNNNNNNNNNNNNNNNNNNNNNNNNNNNNNNNNNNNNNNNNNNNNNNNNNNNNNNNNNNNNNNNNNNNNNNNNNNNNNNNNNNNNNNNNNNNNNNNNNNNNNNNNNNNNNNNNNNNNNNNNNNNNNNNNNNNNNNNNNNNNNNNNNNNNNNNNNNNNNNNNNNNNNNNNNNNNNNNNNNNNNNNNNNNNNNNNNNNNNNNNNNNNNNNNNNNNNNNNNNNNNNNNNNNNNNNNNNNNNNNNNNNNNNNNNNNNNNNNNNNNNNNNNNNNNNNNNNNNNNNNNNNNNNNNNNNNNNNNNNNNNNNNNNNNNNNNNNNNNNNNNNNNNNNNNNNNNNNNNNNNNNNNNNNNNNNNNNNNNNNNNNNNNNNNNNNNNNNNNNNNNNNNNNNNNNNNNNNNNNNNNNNNNNNNNNNNNNNNNNAUUCCUCUCUCCUUUUCACGGUGGGAAGAAGACUCUCAACGGGAGUCUUCUUCCUCCCGAUUCCUCUGUUUUCCUCUCUUUUUUUUUUUUUUUGUGGGCUGUGGCUGAUUCUGGACCGGGGUGUUACACAGAGUACUGAGGGCAAAUUUGCUAUCAGCCUCAUCAAUGUGGUGUUCGUCUUGAUAGGCUAGUUGAGGACUAUGCUGAGAUAAAGCAUUUGGGAGAGGAGCUUCUUUCGAUGGUUGCUCCUUCCUCUUUUGAAGCUGUUGAACAGCUGCUGUCAAAGCUUGGGCUUGCUGAACAAAGAAGCUGGAUUGCUGAGGAUCAACAGUAAUUGGUUAUUGUGGUGGUGCCUUCGGUACUCCUUCUGAAGUGAAGGGAAAAGGAUGUUGAGCUCUUGCUUUGACCAUCUUUUCCACAAAAAAAAUCAAAAAGCCCCUUCUUCUAGCACCAAUCUAUUGCUUCAGGACUCAAAAUCUAAAGUAGAGUGAAUCGAUUUGAGUGAGAUUGGGCCGAAGUAAUUCUUGUGAUCUAACGAAAACUCCUCUAAUUUGCAAAACCAGUCAAAAAACUAGGUGGGGAUCCUCCAGUUCUUGACUCUCCAAUGCUUAAGUUAGUUUGAGCCUUGAGAAUAGAAGUGGAAAAGAAUGGGAAAGCAAGAGAAAUUGAACGGAACUGGAGGAAAACUCAAUAGGAGCCAAGAGUCUGGCUUGAUUUCCUAUUGACAAAGUUUUUUCUAGUUUUCAUGGUUGGAUUUAUCGAUGGAGGAUCCUUGAUCCUCUAUUUAUAGAGGGGAUGAUGAGGCCGUUCCAGAGUUUGUUAGGCCGUUAGGAGAGUUUGUUAGACCGUUAGAAAAUCACCUGUAAAUGAGCUGGCGUACAGCUGUGCAUAUGAGCUGGAUAUGAGAUCGUGACCAGCUAUGGUCUGGUUGAGAAAACUACUGUGGGUAUUUGCAAAAUAGCCAAGUUCGUCGUAAUAAUAGCUUACCUCGAUAGAAGAUCGGUGCAAAAUAAGGAAGCCGUAAUAUUCCAGGAUAGAAGACUAGGAUUCAGAUCGGCAUAUAUCCGACCUGAAUAUUUCUGUUAGCAGAGAUGUCGUUUAGAGAGUAUAAGGGCAUCUUUUAUAUAACUUGGUAAAAUAUUGAGCUAAAUCCGAUUUAUAGAUAAGUUGGUAUGCUAGAAUCUGGCACUUUAAGAUUGAUAUCUUUUUGAUUUUGUAUGAUAAUACCACGUGUCUCGAGAACGAUUUAAUGCACCAAUAACAAGAUUUCAAAUAUCUUGAGAAAAGUUCGAAUUUUUUUAUGCACAUAUAAUCUCUGGUGUAUAUUGCAUGAUUUUAGAAUUUACUUCGAUAUAUAUCCAUUUAGUCAUUCUCUCCCUCUCUGUAUUCCCCCAUUUUUUUAUUUUUUUAUUUUUAUUUUUAAUUUUUUUGAACCAGAAGGUAUUGCAUAUUUCUAGUGUAAGUACAUCCCAAAGUAUCAGCAAAGGCCAGCUCUUUAAGUUCUUGCGAGUCGGAAGGCCAAAUGGUAUCAGCUGAGUGAUCGGCUGCUUGGUCGACCUCCUAAAAGACAUGAGCGACCGCUGGCUUCUGUAAUCAGAGCUCUGGACACCAAAUAUCCAGCAGGGGCCCGGGUACUUAAAUGAACACUGAUGAACUCACCACUUGAGGGUUGUCACUUCCACCAAGCUAAAAAUUAUCUGAUAAAAGAUUCAUGUACCUAAUAUGAUACCAUCAUUCUUCAAAUGCCUUGGAAUUGUUGGUUGACUUGGUUCAGUGUCAUCGAGAACCAGAACUUAAAACUCCGAAAAGAUGGCAGUUACUAGUCUUGUAGCUUGCUACAGAUAUGAAGGCUUCAACUACCAAAAUCAAGGAAGACAGCAAAGUAGCAACCCACUUGAAUCACCUAAUUUUCUUGUAACUGCAAGUCUGGUUUGAGUCCCAGAAACGUGACAUUCUUUUCCAUCUAAGUUUGGUACAAUUACUGCACAAUUGGAUCUAACUGUUAUAACAAAGCCUAUACCCAACACAAAAAUUAGCUCUACCUAGAAUUCCAAAUCCCACGGAAAUUGACCCAACCUAACCCUUUUGGGUCAGGGAUUGAACCAAACCUAGGAAAAAUCUUGGCCCUACCCCUUGGUACAUAUCCUUGACGUGCCUCCUCUCACUAUGAUAACGUUUUGGUCUGGGCGGUGGGAGCCCGCGCGCCCCGACGAUCUCGUACGCCCAAGACGUUUAAAUAGAAGAGAAUUUUCGCCCUUCUCCCGUCUUCCCAUGGUGGAGCUCAAAGAGCGGCUCCUCCCGCCCAAACCCUCGUUAGCUACCUCCACGCCGGCGGCCUCGAAAUCCCAGGAACCGUCCGCCGCCGGCGCCUCGCACCGCCCCCUCUUCCAGUGCAUGGACUUCCUGGGGCUCAAGAAGCGGGGGCAGGGCCUCCGGUCGUGGAUCCGCGUCGACGCCGCGACUAGGAGCUCGCAGGUGAUCGAAGUGGACAAGUUCACGAUGAUGCGGCGGUGCGACCUCCCCGCCCGCGACCUCCGCCUCCUGGACCCACUUUUCGUCUAUCCCUCCACCAUCCUUGGCCGGGAGAAGGCCAUCGUCGUCAAUCUCGAGCAGAUCCGCUGCAUCAUCACCGCUGACGAGGUGUUCCUCCUCAACUCGCCCGACGUCUAUGUCUUGCAGUACGUCGCGGAGCUCCAGCGCCGCCUUACCGCUCACUCCGGGGACGUCUUCACCGGCGGGUCCACUUCGCCGGAUUACCUCCCCUUCGAGUUCCGGGCACUCGAGGUCGCACUCGAGGCCGCUUGCACCUUCCUUGAUGCACAGGUGCUAUCUUGAAUCCUUGAUUCCCUUGUUUCGCGCUUUAGACUCUAGAUUUCUUUCCUUGGGAGACAACCUGAACAUAAACCGAAAACUGAUAUAUUGGUCGAAAAGUUCAAAACGAGUUUAGAGUUUGGAUGGUUGAUUCAACAGUGAUAUGGUGUGGGUCACUUUUGAUUGGCCCCCCUCUUGCAUGGAAAAUGGAUAUACUAUUUGUGACUGAAUCAGUAUUCAUUAAUAUGGCAUUGGAUUGGUUUGUUAUCGGAUAUAUGGUAUCGGUACCUUUGGUACUGCUCUGUUUGUGGGCAUAACAUAGUAAUGCAGUUGCUGCAAGCAAAGCCCCCAAAAGACCGUUAAAUGGAUCUUGAUCGAUUAUAUAAAAGGAUUUGUGAAUCUACCCUAGCAAAAUACUGAAUAAUUGCUACUCGAGAAGUUGUUGGAUUGGUUUCCAUGUAGUAGUUGUUGUAGAUGCCUGAAGAAUACUUAUUUCUGGUUGAUGGUGAGUAUGCUUCAUAAUUUAGAAGUGUACACCACAGACCAUCAAAGGACAUGCUAUGUGCAUGAAUAUUGAAACCGAAUUUCCAAUAGUCCAAUCCAAGGUAUUGGAUUGUGGUGGAAACAAGACCUUCAUCACUAAUCAACAGAUAAAUGCAUGCCAACCAGCAAUCCAGUAUAUUGACUUGAUAUAUUAUGGAACAGUCAAGAUACCCAUAUUGACUAGAGAAAGAGUAUCCUAAAGAUGCAUGAUGGGUUGUGAUUGGAAAGAGCAAAUGUCUGAGUCAAAGUGGGUCAUGUUCCAUUGGAAGUGGAUGCAUCAGGAACAUGAAAAAGAAAAUCAAGUGAGAGCAAACUGUGGAAUAAUUUCAAAUGCAAAUGAAAUUGAUAUGGCUGACCAGCUAUGAAAGGGAAGGAAUUUUGUUAUUGUUAUACAACUACAAUAUAUAGACAUUUUCCUUGACAGUAGGGACUUUAUUUUUGCUCUCUUUUUGGUCGCUCUACUUACUCUCAUAUGGGCUCUUGCUUUCACUUUCAUGAAGAAAUUUUGUUUUUCAUAUUUUGAAAAUGUAGUGAAAGUUUGCCGCACAAAGAUGAGUGAAGAGAUUUAGAAAUCAAAUAUAGGGUCAAAGAUAGGAAGAUGAUUUGAGAUCUCUGGACCAUACCUUGUGAACUUCUUUCUGCUUGUAACAUUUGUAUUCUUUUGUAUUCACUGAUGCUAUGCUCCUAGCAAGAUCCUUUUGCAAUGUCAACUUCCUAUUUUUCACUUGCUUUCCUCUAAGUCUUUCAACUAAACCGUUGGUUGAAUCUCCUUGAAAAUUGGGUACCACUUAUUGUUGUCCAUCACCCAACAUUAGCUUGCUUCACACAUUUUGUCCUUAAAAGACUUUGAGAUAGUGAGGCUCUGAAAAUUGGCAGUCUUUCCAAAAGUUAAGGGUAAACCUAGAGGUAACUCUCCUAGCCACAAAAUUUUGUGGAAAUUGGUCCUUUCAGAAAACAAUCCUUGGACAUUGUAGUGUAUAAGGAUCCCAUAUGGCAAACCAAAGAAAACAUAAAACUUCAUGUUUAUGGGGCUUCAUAACCAAAUUGUGUAGUUUAAAAUGCAUUCCUUGGUGCACUACUGGCAUGCUGGCUUAGCAUUUGAAGGUUUAGAUCAUGCUAUGCCGUGUCAUUUAGUGUCAAUGUUUGCAUGUAUUGGCACAUCAACAUGCUAAGUACUAGUACUCUGUUGGCUCUGUGGUAGUGCUGCAUGUUUUAAUACAACAGAUCAUGUUGUGCUGUGCUGAAAUCCAUUAAUGGAAGAAAAGAAGCUUUACUAAGAAGUUCUUUCAACUUUUCAUCUCCAUUCUCAACUUUCCUCUUGCCUCUCUCUCUCUCUCUCUCUCUCUCUCUCUCUAACACUUAGUAAUUGUGCGAGUGGCAAGAGGUGAUUGGGUACCAUUGCAUUACAUAUAAAUAGCUUUGUAUUGAUAUCAUUUGACAACAUGAAUGCAUGUGGAUUGUGUAGUUGUAGUCAAACAUUGUAGCUGAGAAGGUGCUCCUCCAAACAUUUAUGUUAUAGAUAGAAUAAUUCAUCCAUGCAUGGAUUCCUUCGUGCAUCCAUAAACAGAUUUCUCCUUGCUCACUUACUCUUAACAAUAACCUGCAAGAGAGAUCCUUUAUCUAUUGGGUCUAUAAUUCUGAAUCUGAGAAGGUGCAUCUCCAAACAUUUAUGUUAUAAAUAGAAUAAUUCAUCCAUGCAUGGAUUCCUUCAUGCAUCCAUAAACGGAUGUCUCCUUGGUUACUUACUCUUAACAAUAACCUGCAAGAGAGAUCCUUUAUAUAUUGGGUCUAUAAUUCAGAAUUAUAGUAUAUACCACUGAAGUUCCAAGACUUUAUGCUCAUGUGUGACCUGCUUGUUUGUUGACCAAUUACCCAAUGUGUACAAUAAACUGGCCCUGUGCUGAACUGCAGAUAAUUAAAAUCUUGAUUGUUAUCACCACGGGUGUCAGGAGCCCAUUAAUCAUUGCCGACAACCAGAAAAUAUUUGAGAUAUUGUAUGUAUCUUUUUACAAGAAAAGCAAUCAAUUCUUUAAAUAUUAAAACAGUCAAUAUUGAAACAAUCAAUGCUUUAAGUCUUUCUAAUUUUUCAAGAAAAUGUAUUGAAACAGUCAAUGUUAAAUACCUUUUGACACCAUAUGCAAAGAUGUUGUUCCCAAGUGAUUUAUUCUGAAUGCAGUUUUGUUUCCAUGUUCCCUAGUGAAUGCAUCCUUAAUAUUGCAAAUGUACGCUUAAACUAGUUCAAACCAGUUCAUGAGACCUGAAGUUGAAUCUACACCUCUAUGUUACUUAGUCUAACUCGCAUCUUUUGUUUUCAUAUUUGACUAAUUGUGGAUGUGAUUUAUGAUAUUCAUCUGCUGAAGUGCAUAACAAUUAUUUAUGAUUCAUGGCUUGCUGAUAUUAAUAUCAAUAUGUGCAUGUCUGCAUUUUGUCCCUCAAUAGAAACUGAAGAUGACUGUAAACUUCAUUAGGCUGCUGAACUAGAAAUUGAAGCAUACCCUGUAUUAGAUGAGCUAACAUCAAAGAUCAGCACACUUAACUUGGAAUGUGUGCGCCGAUUGAAAAGCAGGCUUGUUGCAUUGACUAGGAGAGUUCAAAAGGUAGACCCAUAAUGUCAGCGCCGCUUAGCAAUUUCAUAUAUAGCUCUCUCCCUGCUGUUUUUAAUACCAUUGAAGUUUUGCUUGGAUAGGCUCGGGAUGAGAUCGAGCAGUUGAUGGAUGAUGAUGGUGAUAUGGCUGAAAUGUAUCUUACUGAGAAGAAAAGAUGAAUGGAAGCAUCAUUCUACAGUGACCAUUCUAUACAAGGAUUUGGUUCUGUUGGUGCUGGAGUAUCAGUUUCUGCUCCAGUUUCACCUGUUUCUUCACCACCUGAACCUCAAAAGCUUGUUGGGAAGACAUUGAGCCUUGCUAGAAGUAUGAAAAGUUCUGAUAACACACAAAACAUAGAGGAGUUGGAGAUGCUGUUGGAAGCUUACUUUGUGGUCAUUGAUAGCACUCUUAACAAACUGACUUCGGUAAUUAAUGGAUUAUUUUAGUUUUAUAACUUUCUCUGGAAUAAUCAAAAUAUCUAAAGAUUGGUUAUCUGCACUAUCUUUUCAGCUGAAGGAGUACAUUGAUGACACAGAAGAUUUUAUUAACAUUCAACUGGUAUUUUUCCCUUCUCCUGAGUUUUAUGGUUAAUGCUGUACCUUGCUUGUGAUUGUAUUUGUAGCAUGCAAUGCCAUAACUGAGAUGAUCUAAAGGGAUUAAAAAAUUACUAAUGACACAUAAGCCAUUUCGUAAUAUCCAAACAAUUGAUUCUGGUCUAUUUGUCAAAUCAGAUCACUAACAAGAAAGAAAUAAAACUCAUUUCUUUCUGCUAGUCAAGUGAUUCUUUAAUUUCUGAUGAUAAUGUGACAAUGUUUUGAAAGAUGUAUUAUGUACAUUUUAGCUAACCUGUAAUAGUAGUGCUUUAUUUUGUUGUGGAAGACAUGUAUCUGCUGAUGAUAUCUACUGAUAUCUCUGCUAUUAUACAUGCAUUAGACUAGCCUUCUAUGACAACUAUAGAUAAGUAAAUUCUGUUGGGAUCAUAUUAUGUGCCUCAAUCAUAUAAAAAAUUCAAUAACAAGAAACAUCCACCAAUUUAAUGACGUUUGCCAUUGAUGAGUCUUCAAUGACAGUGGGAUGGGAAUUUCAGGUGCAGCUAAUUCUCAAAACACAGUAAUACAGUGUAUAUGUAUGUACUUGAGCAUGUUGUCUAUUGUAACUUGCUAAGACAAAAUUGUCAAUUAGAAGUUAUGGUAAAAGGAUAAAAUUCAUCAAAAAUCACAUACUGAUUUCAGGGAAUUCAAGUACCCUCAAUCUGAGCACAAAAAAUGAGCAUUAUUGUUGGGAUUACCAUAAGACUUAUUGCCAUUGGCUUGAAGAAGUACUUUUUAUUGGUUCAUGGAGAACAUAAAUAAGUUCUUUUGCCAGCACACAUGAAUAUUAUUGAAGAAUUGUAGCCAUACCACCCUAGGUGCAGUCACUGGCCUUGAUAUUUAAUUUAUUCCACUAGUUUAUACACAAGAUAAAUUAUAUAAAUUCAGUACAUUAUUAAGGUAUGAAACAUACGGAGUUCUAGUAUUGAUAAACAUGUGAAUGGUAGCUUAUUUUUAUAAUUUUUUUGGAAAAUCUUGUGCUCUCCAAAGUCCAAAACAUUCUUUGUAGAGCAAUAAUUACAUUGCAAACCAUGCUUCAUAGAUUUCAUGAACGUCUAACUGAAAUGGCAAUUGUGUAGUAGCAAUUAUUUACGUUAGAUUUAAGGGGUUGUUUGAAGCCAUAUAGUUGAAGUUGCACUAUAAUUCAAGUUGCAUUUCAACUUAAGUUGUAAUAGUUGACCAACAAUGAAGCUUAUUUUUGUGUUUGGAGGAGAGUUUGGGGAAAAGAGUGGUGUGUGGCCCUUUCUCAUAAUUAUGGCAGUUCAUGCCACCAUGUCCUUCACAACAGUCUACUGUAAAACCCUUCAGCAGAGCCCAUGUCGCUGACUUUGGUAUAGGUGAUGAUUAAUGAAGUCCAAGUUAUGGUGUCUCUGAUGGAUAUUCUGUCAAACACUUGCUAGUGGAUGCCAAGUUGGAGCACCCGACAUACAUGGAGAUGAGGUGUUCUUGAUGAAGAUGUUAAUGUUGAAGCUAUCAAUGGCGAGGGCUAGGGUGUGGACCUGGACGCCCAUAGGGAUGGAGUGGGCAGCGGUACUGGCUUUAAGGAAGGUGAAGAAGGUGAAGGAGAGGUGCGGGACAAGGGGCUAGAGGUGGUGCAUGGCGGUGUAGAGGUGGAGGGUGUGGGCAAUGAAGGAAAAGGGCAAAUGAGAGUGGUUCAGAGGAAAGGGUAGGCAAAGAUGAGGAUUGGGUAGAGGUGGGUGGUGACACAGAGGUCUACAAGGUGAUGAAGGAUGUAGGUGACGAGGAAGCUACUACAAUGAAGGUUGAGAUGGAGGAGGCAGAUGUGGCCUUCCAUGAGGUCGGGGAGGCUAACAACAACAUUGAGCGUGGCAAUGAGGAGGGACUAAAGAUCAAGGUGAGGGAGGA